rnacentral:lncRNA from 1 species
AAUUGUCCAAGAGAUUCUGUUCUAAAGCUAAUCAGGAGUUUGAAACCAGAUAUUUUUGUUCAUACUAUUAGUAAUGGUGCCUACAAUUCCCCAUUCUUUGUCACUCGAUUUCGGGAGGCUCUCUUCCACUUCUCUGCCUUGUAUGAUGUGUUUGAUGUUAACAUAGCCCGCGACAGUCCUGAGAGGUUGAAGUUUGAAACAGAGUUCUAUGGCGUGGAGGCAAUGAAUGUGAUAGCAUGUGAAGGGAUUGAGAGAGAUGAGAGGGCUGAGACAUACAAGCAAUGGCAGGUACGUACUCAAAGGGCUGGUCUGAAGCUGUUGCCAUUGGACCAAGAGACUACAAAGGUGUAUAGGGAUAAGGUGAAGAAUGUGUACCACAAAGAUUUCGCAAUUGAUCAAGAUGGUGAUUGGAUGCUUCAAGGAUGGAAAGGUCGAAUUAUCUAUGCUUCUUCUUGUUGGGUGCCUGCAUAGGAGUCCUGCUUAAGUUUUUUUUUUUUUUUUUCUUUUUCCUCUCUUUGAACUUCUGCAUGUAUAGUGGAAUGCUAUUUUCUAUUUAAAGAGAAAAGAAAUCAUAAUAGGAAUUGACAUUAUAAAUAUAGAAGGAUCAUGGAUGUUCAUAAUUUUUCCUCCUUGUUAGAAUAAAACUGAUCAUGAUGGGGCAGCAGCUUUGAUUUCACAUUCUUGAGGCCGAAGAAACAAACACAUUAGAGAUCAUCAGAUUCCCAUUUCUUGAUGGUUCCAAAAUGCAGAAAAUAUAUUAAAGCAGCUGUUUUCUUCUGAUUAGUUAAUCAAUAGUAUGAAAGGUUCAGACCAGAGUGUGUUUAUUAUUGUCCAGCUCUAAUAUUCCAACCUGAUCACCUCACAUGCUCUCUGAGUCUGACUCUGUAAUUAUAUGUUUUAUACAGUACUAAUCGUGGUGUGUGUUUUGCCACGUCAAUAAGUCUGGGUAUGUAAAGUCUCUUUUAGUCGUUGCGGGCGUGCCACCGCGCGGACGCGGAAUGUAGUAGUUGUAGUAGCGGGGUGUGUUUAGUCUUUUGCUUCUAAUCAAGCGACUGAUGAUAGAGCGAGCACCAACUUCACCGCAGGGUUCUUUAGAUUCUCCUUGCGUACUGGACAAGGACUUACAGUAGUCCGCCUGAGCGUCACAAUAUCGAUACUGGACGUAAGGUCGAGCAGAGCUUCAACUAGGAAGGAAGAGAAAAAAGACAAAGCUCCGGGAGCAAUGAAAGCAAAGCUCCGGGGAGCCUGUAAGAGGAAAGGGCUAAGGCGUGAGCUUUUAGCGUUGGGUUCAACUGUGUUGAAAAUUGUAUUGUAUUUUUGUUGAGUUGUUGAGUGUGUCUAGAGAAUCUCCUCGAACUCCUUUAUAUAGAGUUAUUUUAGGGCCACAGGUAUUGGCCCAAAGCAUAUCAAAGACUUGUGGAAGUCUUUAACGCUAAACGUGGCGUAGGCGAUGUUAAUCACUUGCUUGACAUAAUAAUGUUUUGGCGAAGUAACUAAUUGCCUCUAUGUAGAAGAGCAGAACCAAUCUCAUAAAGAUGUGGACGUAGACGAUUCAUGCAAAUCCAAUUAAGGAAUAGAGUUCUUAACCAACACAUACACCUUCACGUGCAAGCGGACUCCUCAACAUAGAAUUAUCCCUAACCUAGUCAAACAAUUAAGGACACUUGCUUCCUUAUCCACUCGAAUGUCAUGCGAAGCCAAUGCCGUUUAGUCCUGCAUUUGUAUGCGAACUCCUCCUCUUGCUUCUUCGCGAAGUCUCCUACAUACGCGAAGUCAUCUCGCCUUGCUUCCAUACUAGGCCUCUAUCUUCUACGCUAAGUCCACUUCCUGAUCCCAUGCAAAGUCCUUUUCGCGUGUGAAUUCCGCUAUCUAGCUCGCAUGAUUUCGCUGGCGGGCCAUCACUUAUAAACUCAAUGUUUUGGGCUCGCCGGAGUUUAGCCAUGAAUUUAAUUAAUAUUCACUUUAGACAAUUACUGUCCAGUAAAAUAUUAAUUUAAGUGUAAACAUUACCCCCCCAGCCUCGAAGUCAUGAAUGUCAAAAAUGACUGAAGAGGUUUAUGUUUCAUGCUGCCCCAAAGCCACUGGUAUUGGCUCGGUUCAUACAUCAAAUAACUAUGAGUAAACAAGCCUGUGAAUAAGCCCUGAAACUCAAGUACCCAACAACAAAGCAUUGUAGCGAAGCUGCUGUACAAUUCGCCUAGUACCAUAUUAAAUUGAUGAUCAUAGACUUAACAUAGCUAGGUACCUUGGCCUUGAAGUUAACGUGCACUUCGUUUUCACUUCGCUUGCUCUACUCAGAAUACAUGGUACAUUGCACAUACCUCGAGUGGAUGUAUCUCGAAUAAAUGUGUCUUGAACAUAUGUACCUCGAGUGGAUACAUUUGAAAAGAAAUUGUCUAACCUCGAAGGGAUGUGCCUUGAGUAGACGUUCGCUUUGAAUGGAUUCAAAAUUGACCUUCGCUUGAGCUCUUGGCGAUGGCGAACCAUCUUCUUGAUAUUAAAAUCAUGGAGUGACAUUGGCCAUAUAAUUUGCUGCCCCCUAGUGCUAACCAAUGAGAGUCAAACAAAAGGACCAUGUCGGCGAACGGUCGCAUAAUUUGGUAUUUUUUUUUUUUAUUAGAGGCCACAGGUGUUGGCCUAAAUAAUGACCAAGACAUUUGAAGAAAGUCUAAAGUCUAAACUAUCUGGAACACAUCUCUAUCCCAUAUGUGCCCCUUAGUUUUGAUGUCUAUUCGACGAUACUUAAGAAGAAUGGAGGACAUCAAACCCUCCCCCCCCCCCCCCCCCACCCACGUGAAGGAGUUGUAGUACCGUGCAUCAUUGAAGUUAGCAAACACCGAAAAAGGUCGUGGAUCAGCCUUGAGUAGAUCCUGGUGUAUGAAUAAAGGUACACAAAACUUGUAUGGAUACCCCCCAGUAAAGGAAAGCAUGCUGCAAGGUCAUGAAAACACAUUGCAAAUUCGCGCGUAUCCUGACCUGUCUGCAUUCAAACUGCCAUAACUCUUUCCAGGAAUGUCGGAAUGACGAACCAUAAAAUCCGACAUCCAGGGCUUUCUGUUGAUAUAGGGCUCACCUGCUGGUUCUUCCUGGAUCAUUUCAGUUUAAUCCGCGAAGUCCACUGUCCAGUAGUGCCUGUUGCAAUUUUCAGCACUGUAAUCUAUUGUGUUUCUUGACUUCGCCGGCAGCAAUUCUAAGGCAUGUGGAAUGCAUGUUGUCUUCAAGCCUCAAGGAUAGGCCUCUAAGUAAAGUUCAAGCCUUACAUAGGCAAGAACGUUGUCUUGCAUUUAAGCAAAACCAAGGAUCUCUUUUUGUGUUUUUUGCUAUUUGAUUUUUUUGUAUUUUUCUUUUUCAAUGCGAGUAAGAAAGAAAAAGAAAGAAAACGGAAGUAAAAGUUGAAGUAAAAGCUAGGAGCAAAGAAAAGAAGGGAUCAUAGUAUGAUUAGUUACCCUUCGUAAGGCCACGAGGGAGGUCACCGAUGCUUCACUCCAAACCUCGAUGCCAUUAUGCUUUCGGCAUGAGAUCCUCGUCGUAGAGAACUUCCAAGUGCUGAGCAAAGAUGUUAUGCAUCAACAACUUGAAAAUUUGAAGAAAGUAGCUCGUAGGGACUGCCUUGUUGCCCCCCCCAAGCAUCUUUGCCAUUUGGUAAGACAUGAUCUUGAAUUGUAUCCUUGCGGGAAGUAUGGUGUAAAGAUCAGCCUUGUCACCGAUUAUCAUGUCAUAGUGCAUAGUUUCAUCAUAACUAGGCAAAGACUGGCUGUCAAUUUUAGAGCCAAUGAUCAAUCUAUAAUCGUCAUCGUACUCAUCGUAUAUUGGCGUCGUUGAAAGAUCACAGUAAUCUCAACUGUUCAUAGCCUCAGGUGGCAUGACUGCCUUUCAUCGAAUACAAGAGGUAAUUCUCAAACCCCAUGUUACACCUAAGGAAAUUCCUGAAUUAUUAUCAGACAAUGCCAUAAACAAUAGAUUUUUUAACAAACACUAACUAACAAAAAUAACUAUUCUAAUAACAACUUUAUUUGUUAUCAAACCGUGGUGAAACAAUAAAAAGAUCACUACAUUUGUAACAUUUUUACAUAAACUUGUUUUUGAGUAGUUAUCUCUUUCUCUACACCAAUCUCUCAGGUGUAAAGAAACAAAGUGAACACAGUGGUACAAUUGGGUACAAAUAAAAGAAAGAGUUUCAACUUUCAACUUUUAUGGUUUUUUUUGUUACUAUCUUAAUUAACCCCUAUAGGUGGUUGAGUUGGUAAAAAUGUAUGUGUGACACCUCAUCAUAUCUACAAGGAAAAUGCUUGAGACCCCAAAUGUUUAUACAAAAAUCGGAUACCAAAUUAUGUGGCAACCGCUAUGUCAACAUUUGGCAUUGAAAAUUCUUGGUGAGGUGAAAUUUUAUUAUUUAUAUUUUAUCGAUUGUAUUACAUAUGUUAUAAAUUGAAAAUUAAAAAUAAAAAUUCCUCUUCGUCAUCUAUUGAUGGUCGCAACUAUCUACCAUGAAAGAAUCAAUGUCAACCACCCAAAGAGAUCAAAAGCAAAAAUGAAGAAAAUCAGACAUUUUGAUUAGAGAACGAUUGUUAUUUAUGCAAUAAACAAGAAGGAGAUUCUGCAAAGACCUAUGCUUACCUACUGUCAUUGCUUCAUGAACUUUUUCUCAAAUCUUCAUCCAAGUUCAAAACCAAUUAACCAUAAUUGCAGAAUUUCACUACCCAUGAGCCAAACAGAUAGGUUACAAGAGCCAUGAGCCGAAUUAUCAAUCCUAUCUGCCACAAAAUUUGGGCACAAAUUUGAUUUGGUCCCUGGUUCUUGCAAAACAUGUCUAACUUGUGAACGAUGAAAAUAAAGAAGAGGAAGACAAAAACUGCAGUAUACUUUGAAUCAUCAGCUUCAUUUAUUUCUGGUACAUAUCCAAAUUACUGAUGAACACAGCCAUUUGAACUCUCAAAAAGAUAUAGACUGAUAUUGAAACAGAAUAGUGCAGCAAAUGAUGUCAUAUGCCUGAACACUGAUCAUGAGUGUCCUCAUCAAGUUUGUAAUACGUUAAAGGAUCCAUUUCCAGGUAAGUGUCUUUGUAAGUUUUUGCUAUUUUUGUUCUUCUUCAAGCUUUUGGAAAUGUGGUCGACUAGUUGAGGACAUAUACAGACUCGUCCACUAUCCAUUGUGGAGGUUUUUCAUCACCUACAAAACCAAAGCUUUACUAACCCUUUAUAUGGUGUUCAAAUGUUCAACGUAUCUGUCAUCAUCAACUCAGGGCCUACGAGCAUUUACAUAGUUUUGUUUACCAAGUAAUCGUAUUUCUGGGUUUAUUUGAGAAUGAAAGGAUUAGAUGACCUUUUAUCAAAAAAGAAAAGAAAAAAAAGGGGAUAGAGAUGCCUGUGAAUGAAGAUGAGAGACUGAGAGCGACAGAGAGAUCUAGACAAGAAAGUCCAGAGGUCUUUAAUAUCAAGUUGGCUUCGGUGUUUCGAGGUCGAAUCAGAUGAAGAUUCAAACCCAAAUUUGCUCAUCUCUUUUCUUCUCUCCCAAGGUAGGCACUUGCGUUAAGAAAAGCGACAACUAAAGCAAAGGGUUCCAUUAAGGUUCAAACUAGGGCUGCCACUUGGUUUGGUAAAUACCAAAUCGAUCGAAAACCGAUACGAAAAUUUAUNNNNNNNNNNNNNNNNNNNNUUUUGGUAAUCGAAAUCAAAAAAACCGAAACCAAGAAAUACCAAAAAAGUUGGUUUGGUUCGGUAUUUCUCGGUUUCGGUUUUUGGUAAAUACCGAAUUUACCGAAAUUCUAAUUAUUUAAAGACUUAUAUUUCUAAAAACACACAGACUAAUAAUCUUAUCUCACGUUUUCAAUUGUAUAUACCAUUUAGUAAAAAACAAGACAAUGAAUAGAAAAAUUCAACUAUACUUGGAAGCAUUCGGGUCUUAAUUAAAGCGAUCAACUUUAAUUCAAUGUUACUUGUUAUAUAAAAACGCUCUUACCUACCCGUCUUAGUCGAUUCAUCACACACACACAUAGACAAACCCACUUAGAUGACAUGUAACCGCCCAUGUAAAAAUUUAGGACUGUUUUUACCUCUCUUGAUGAUAGGGCUUCCCAUAAGAAGCACAAGCGUAAAUAGGGUUAGCCGCCUUGAUCAAGGCCAAAACAUUAUCAAAAAUACCUAAUUUUUCUACCAUAGUCGUAUUUCACUAUAUUGAUCACAUCAUUGUUCACAAGGUUUUUGAAAAUUUUGCUUCCUCUUUGUAGUUGGUUCACAAAGAUGUACAUAUGCAUAUAACUUACUAAAUAAGUUAUACCACAUUAUCAGGCAUGUUGUGGUUCCAAUGAUUACAAUUCAUAAAAUUAAAAUUCGACCGUCUGAUGUGAUCAUUAUAGUAUAAUACAAUUAUGAUAGAAAAUUCAAUUGUACUCAAUAAUGCUUGGGUCUUGAUCAAAGCGGUCAACCAUAAUUUAACGUCACUUAUUACACGAAAAAGCUUUUACUGCCCUUAUGUGACUUAUUUUGGUCGACUCUUCCACACACAUACUUUCACAUAGAUGACAUAUAACUUGUUCAUAUAAAAAUUUGGAAACAUUUACAUCCUGACUAUUUCGGUAGAAAAUUAAACCAUACUCGAUAAUGUGUACUGAANNNNNNNNNNNNNNNNNNNNAGUGUCUUUGUUAGUUUUUGUCUAUUUUUGUUCUUCUUCAAGCUUUUGGAAAUGUGGUCGACUAGUUAUGAUGAGGACAUAUACAGACUCGUCCACUAUCCAUUGUGGAGGUUUUUCAUCACCCACAAAACCAAAGCUUUACUAACCCUUUAUAUGGUGUUCAAAUGUUCAACGUAUCUGUCAUCAUCAACUCAGGGCCUACGAGCAUUUACAUAGUUUUGUUUACCAAGUAAUCGUAUUUCUGGGUUGAUUUGAGAAUGAAAGGAUUAGAUGACCUUUUGUCAAAAAAGAAAAGAAAAAAAAGGGGAUAGAGAUGCCUGUGAAUGAAGAUGAGAGACUGAGAGCGACAGAGAGAUCUAGACAAGAAAGUCCAGAGGUCUUUAAUAUCAAGUUGGCUUCGGUGUUUCGAGGUCGAAUCAGAUGAAGAUUCAAACCCAAAUUUGCUCAUCUCUUUUCUUCUCUCCCAAGGUAGGCACUUGCGUUAAGAAAUGCGACAACUAAAGCAAAGGGUUCCAUUAAGGUUCAAACCAUGCGGUCCUCAAGUGGUCUCUAUGCCCUAAUCACGUCCAAAAUUGUCACUAGACAUUUUAUUGGAGCUUUACAAAUAGUUAACAUCGUCUCGGGUUGUCACUAGACUUGUUCUUGGUAUCUUUCAAUUGGUAGGUUGUCUAUUUCAUUGUUCCACGGUGAAAAUAGGUCAUUUCGGACUUCCAUCAAGAUUGAACAACUCGAUCCUCUCCUUUCUCAUUUAGGAGAGGAUACAAUUCCUUUUAGAGCUUUGCUAUUUGGGUGGCGUUUCUACCUUUGGCCCAUGGUAAGCAUUUAGUGUUUUUUUCAGUGAGCGCUUGUGUACUAUGUAGUAGUUAAUAGUCUAUAACUCUCGUGUCAAAUGAUUGAACCUAAUCAAUGUGUCAUUUGUGCUACUACUAGUCUAUAGGUUCUCAUGUCGAAUAAUUGAACCUAAUCAAUGUGUCAGAGCUUCUUUAGCGCCGUAAUGCUAGCUAUUUUUUAGUUAAAUUUUAAUCAAAAUUAGUUAAAAUAUUAUUUUGGCUAACAACUUUAGAAAUGUGCUUGUAUCAAUACUAUAUAAGAUUAAAUUAAUAUUAUUCUUCAAAUGAAGAUUAAAUAGUUUAAAUGUAUUUAUGUAUCACAUAAAAUAUCUUAAAAUGAAUGAAUUAAAUUAUAAAGAGUCUCAUUUGUGUCAUCUUGCUCUCUAUAUUUAACUAACAAGAUAGCUAAAAGUCAUAAUAGUUAAACUUUGAGUACAUGUUGGAGCUUCUAAAAUAUCCAAAAAAGGUAAACACGCUCUCUAAAAUAGUUAAGAGACUAAAAUAGAGUGUUAAAGAUGUUCUCAUAUGUGCAACUACCACAUAUCAUUUAUCCACCUAAAUAUGUCGGAAACGGGGGGUUUGUAAUGACCAUUUCUAAUUUAAGAUAUCAAUAUAUUGUCUACGCCUUCUUUUUAAAAAUCAUUGUUUAUCUAUUUAAAUCACAUACAUAAGUUUUUUGAUAAAAUGAGAAAAUCAUUUACUCACUCCAUUUUCACCUAAAAAGUUUUUAAGUUCGUGUCACGCGGCAAAGAAAAAGAAUCCGAGGUUUUUGAGUCAAAACUCGUGCAUCAUCAGACCAAUCAAGAUCUUCAUGAAAGACAGAGCGACUGGUUUGCCCGGUACCUUUUUUCCAAAUGGAUGACUCCACAGUUUCCUUGACUGACUGACACAUGAGUUCCGCCACCUCCCAUUUUUUCGUCUCUCAAAUACCUGAGUUCCACGAAACUUCGUCACAUAGCUUAUAUAUAGCACUACCACACCGAGCUGGGUUUGGUUCUCCUCCAGUCCAUGAUCCUUUCCCUUCCCAAAUCUCAAAGCUUUUCUUCCAGGUACGCCACCCCUUCAGCUUGGUUUGUCUUCCUCUCCAGUAAAGUUUCCUUCUUUGCUUCUAAAUUGAUCUUGGACUUCAGCCAGUUUGCUUCAUGUGUUCUUGAGGUUAUUGAGGUUUCAUAUUGAUUUGAUGUUAAUGGGUACGGGAAGCUUAUGCCUUUUCCACCAUGGUGGGGGUUGUUUUGAUUUUGUGUGUUAGAUUUCAAUUCAAGGUUUAGUACUUUUAGUCACCUUUAGGAUCUUGGGGGUUCAGGGUUUUACCCAGAACCAAUUUGAUUGUUUGUGAAUAUGGAUCCAACUUACAAUGGAUUCCCUGGUUUCAUAAACGACAUUGAUUUCGACCCCAUGUUACCCAAUUCAUCUCAAUUCCCAGAAACCCCAAAUCAGUACCAAUUUAACCAGCUCUCUCCAGAUUUUGACCUUUUGAGCAAUCAGUUUUCAAUUCCACCUGAGCCGGAGUCCGGUAAUCUUGCUCCUCCAAUUAGUCUUAGCCCAGGGGGGGAGUCUUUUUAUCCCAAUGAAAAUUCAUUUUCUGUUCCUACCACUGUUAGCCCCGGAGUGGAUUCUCUGUCCUCUGAUGAUGAAACUGUGUUCAAGUUUGUAAACCAGAUGCUUAUGGAGGAGGAGGAGAACNNNNNNNNNNNNNNNNNNNNAUGAUUACAAUUCAUAAAAUUAAAAUUCGACCGUCUGAUGUGAUCAUUAUAGUAUAAUACAAUUAUGAUAGAAAAUUCAAUUGUACUCAAUAAUGCUUGGGUCUUGAUCAAAGCGGUCAACCAUAAUUUAACGUCACUUAUUACACGAAAAAGCUUUUACUGCCCUUAUGUGACUUAUUUUGGUCGACUCUUCCACACACAUACUUUCACAUAGAUGACAUAUAACUUGUUCAUAUAAAAAUUUGGAAACAUUUACAUCCUGACUAUUUCGGUAGAAAAUUAAACCAUACUCGAUAAUGUGUACUGAAAUGAUUAUCUUUUGUAAAUGUAUUAUCAGACUCUAGAAACUCAAGUGAUACUUAAAUUUUAUAGUUUUGUAUUGUUUUGUUAUAUUUUGAAAAUAUAUUUAUUGUGAAGUUUGGUAAUACCGAAAAACCGACAUCCGAAGUUGGUAAGAUUUAUCUCAUCCCGAAGUUUUUGGUUUGGUAAUUGAAAGUCAUAUUUCAUUACCGAAAGCUUUGGUUUUGAAGUUGGUAACGCCCAUUACCGAUUCGAACCGACCGAGUGGCAGCCCUAGUUCAAACCAUGCGGUCCUCAAGUGGUCUCUAAGCCCUAAAUGUUAGAGUUAUAUCUAAUGUGGAUUCAAGAUUAACACAUGAGAGUUCAACAUAUAUAAACAUCUUGUGAAAUAAGUAAAUGAGGUUAAUCGAUAAUACUUAACUUGGAUAUUUAUCUUAGUAAUCUGAUUAGAUAAAUACAAGGAAUUUGAGAUAACAUAGAAUAUAUGUUAUAGUUAUCACAUAAGGUAAUUGAUUGGUUUAUUAGAGUUGCCUUGUGAGAUGGGAUUCUAAGUGAACUUGUCAAUAUAUAAAAGGGUCCCUGUGUAAGCUCAUACUACGCCUGUAAGUUUUCAUACUCACUGUGAAGAGGCAAUCUGGAGAAUUACAUAGAAGACUUCCUCUGCUCCAGCUUGAUGGCGUUGAACAUGAACAACCAAGGUUGGUGCUUCUAAUUCUUAUACAUGUAUAUAUGUUCUUGUUUUGCUGAAACAUGAUGCAAUGUGUUUAUGUUUAUAUGUGGUUUUAAGUUCAAUAGUUGGUAUCAGAGCCAACCAUAUUUUUUCAUAAACCUUGUUGUGUUAUGCAUGAUUAUUUUGAAAAAUUUUCUGAAAAUUUUUUAUUUUUUUUCUUCUGCUGUGACACUGAUGAACACGAAUUGGGCCAAGAGUUUUGUCAAGGCCCAAUACACAAACCCAGCACAAGCAUGAACCCAGACCCGAUUUUAAAAGGACGCGGAUCCUUUUGACCCGACCCGUUUUCGUUUUGACCCAACUGAUCAUUAAAAGACAACGUCUUUUUUCAAACCCAGAAUUGGGAUUAGGGUUCUUCUGCUAAAUUCGUUUUUUGGGAUGAUCUUUUGCUGCAUAAUGGGCUGCUAUACAUGGUUAGUGUGCGACUUUGUUUUUUAAAAUACAUGUUGUUACUAACUCUGUUUUGCAAGCGCGGGAGCGUCCUGGUACGUUUUCAAUCUCAAUGAAAUUUGAGAUUUUUACUGUUUUGUGCGAUUGAAUCAUGCAUAUGAACCUUAGAACUCGCCUGGGGAGUAGGUUGAGGUGCCCAGAUGAAACUUCAAUUUCGAAUUGUUUGAAAGAUGGCAUGCAUGAUAUGGAAUGUGAAUUACUGUGAUUGUAUGCUUAUGAAUGAUUUGAUGAAAUUGUGGUGAUUCUGAGUACUUGAAUGUAUGAUCACGCAUAGCUUAAGAUUGAAAUUGACAGAUAUGUAUAUUUUUACUCCCAAAUCUAUAUAUGUUUGUUGAAAUAUCAAGAUUGAGCAUGAUUGGUUUUCUGACAGUUUUAUGAAAUUGGAAUUGGGAAAACGUAAAGUAACGAUCACAGGUAUUUAGUUAAUNNNNNNNNNNNNNNNNNNNNCAAACUAUUUUUAAAUGGUUCUUGUAACUAAGGCACAUACCUGAAAAUUGCAUAUUUUUUGUUGAAAUAGGGACUGUAUCAUCUACAGAUGGCUUUAAACUUUACCUAUCUUUGAUAAAAAAUGUGGUUCUAAAUAUGAUAUGUUUUACUUCUUAAAGUGCAGUAUGAUCCUUUCUUCUUGCCCACAGGUGUUGACUGAUCAUGUUGUAGGAAUUAAAAUAUGUUGUAGUUUAGGAAAACUAAGGAAUAACUUAUGCUUUGCCCACAUGUAGACUGGUUAUUGAAUUAGACUGAAAUACUAAUUUUGGUUUAAAAGUAUGCUUCUAUAUGUAUACAUUCUGAAAAUGCUUAAACUAAAAUUUAUUUUAGUUUCUUCCACUUUGUGUCAUAUGGAAUUACCUUGUUUUGGUUUGACACUUGAAGUGUUGUAUGAGAAAUGUCUGGUUUUUGGUAUGUUUCUGGUGUGAUUUUCAUGUUUUUUGAAAAUUUUUACAUAUAUACUGAUAUAUAUCGAUAUGGAUAUAGAUAACUAGAAGUACUAAAACUUUUGUUUUCUUUUAUGUUCUUUUUCAGUUUUGACUCCUGUGAACGUAGAGAUUGUGAUGCCUUUGAAUGGUAGCAACUAUAAGACCUGGAGAGAUGAUAUAGACUUGAACCUAGCACAACAGAAUGUAGAUUGGUGUCUGAGUGUCCAUGAAAAUGGUGCAGCUAGAGAUAAUUAACUGGGUGAGAGCCAAUAAGAUAUGUAAGCUCACUAUUAUGAGGACCAUCUCUGAUGUUGUGAAAGGUGGUAUUCCCGAGAAAGAGAUAGCUAGUGAGUACCUUACUGCCAUAGUUGAGAGGUUCACGAUUAGUGACAAGGCUGAGACUCCAUUGUUGUUAGACCAGCUGCAUGGUAUGAGGAGAAGAUGAACAUCAGGGAAUAUAUUCUGAAGAUGAUUGAUAUUGGAGCUAAGCUCACUGCCCUUAAGAUGACCAUGGAGAAAGACAUGAUUGUGAUGCUAGUUCUGAAAUCCCUCCCUUGUUGCCACUGACUUUCAUGGCCUUCUUGCCAACUCCCAGGUUCUUAGAAGGGCUAGCUUUCUUUUCAGGUUUCUUCCAUUGUGGUUUGGUGGUGACUAAGUGAAUGGUAACCUUCUUAAUCCUCUCAUGUUCCUGGACACAUAUAGCAAUCAGCUCAUUUAGUGUCCACUUGUCUUUCUGCGUGGUGUAGGUGGUCUUAAGCUGAUCAAAUUCAACAGGGAGGGAUUUCAGAACUAGCAUCAUAAUCAUGUCUUCCUCCAUGUUCAUCUUAAGGGCAGUGAGUUUAGCUCCUAGGUGAAUGGUAACCUUCUUAAUCCUCUCAUGUUCCUGGACACAUAGCAAUCAACUCAUUCAGUGUCCACUUGUCUUUCUGAGUGGUGUAGAUGGUCUUAAGUUGAUCAAAUUCAACAGGGAGGGAUUUCAGAACUAGCAUCACAAUCAUGUCUUCCUCCAUGUUCAUCUUAAGGGCAGUGAGCUUAGCUCCAAUAUCAAUUUGAUCAACUUAAGACCACCUACACCACUCAGAAAGACAAGUGGACACUGAAUGAGCUGAUUGCUAUCUGUGUCCAGGAACAUAAGAGGAUUAAGAAGGUUACCAUUCACCUAGUCACCACCAAACUACAAUACAAUAAACCUGAAAAGAAAGCUAGCCCUUCUAAGAACGUGGGAGUUGGCAAGAAGGCCGUGAAAGUCAGUGGCAACAAGGGAGGCAUCAAAUGCUUGUUUUGUAAGGUUAAGGGCCACAUGAAGAAGGAUUGUGGCAAGUAUAAGACCUAGAAGGCAAAGAGAGGUAAUGAACCAUUGUUUAAUUUUUAUAUUGAGGUGAAUUUAGUUAACGUUCAUACUGAUACUAACUUGGAGUUUUGACACUAGCUCACCUGUGCAUAUCACCAAUUCUCUACAGGGGCUGCAAAGCCAGAGGAGGCCAAAGGAAAAUGAGAUCAGGAUCCAUGUUGGAGAAGGCAUGAGAGUAGGAAUUGAAGCAGUUGGUUUUGUUAAAUUAGUUUUNNNNNNNNNNNNNNNNNNNNCUUUUUCUUUUUUCUUUUGAAUAAUUUGAUCUCUAUUUUGUACCUCAUAAUAAACUAUUUCAAUAAAUAUAUAUUUUCUAUAAUAGCUAUAUAUUAAUUUUUUUUUCAUAUAAAAAAUUUAUGCAUCUUGCAAGUAUAUGCGUUCAACAUGUAUGAUAAUACAAAGUUUUAUGUCACAUGAUCGAUAUUGAUUAUAAACUAUAUGUAUGCUUUAAUAAAAAGAAAUUGGAAAACAAAAAUAUAUAAGGAAAACAAUAAAGAAUAGAAUCAAUUAUUAUUGAAUUGGAAAGUCCAAAGAGAAUAAAUAUAUAUAUUUUUUUAUAUAAUUAUUGUCCUUAAUAGUCAUUGUGUAUGAGGAUGCAUAUGUCAUUUAAUAAUUCACAAUAGAGUGAGGUCUGGUAAGCAAAUUUGGAGGUCCCAAUAGCCGCACUCUUUCUUUUUUCAUGACAACCUCUUUGUCAACCUCAAUUCCUUGAUUUUUUUAUUUUUAUUUUUGCAUAGAAUAUCAUUAACCUCUAUCAUUUGAUCAAGUUGUAAGAACGAUUUUUCGAUGACAACAAUUUAAAAAAAAAUUUAUUCAAAUCAUGAAUCGUUUUCACAGUCAAUUGCAAAACAAUAAAAUACAUAAAUUAAUGAUAUGCACCCAGAAACCUUUAACCUAGAGAAAACCCCAAGAAGACCAAUCUCGUCGACCACCACUCCAUGAAGCAAGUCCUCGAGGAAAAGAUUCAUUCAAAUAACUAUUAAAGUAAGACCUUUCUCUUGUAGAAUAACGAUAACAGUUUCAGAUUAAUGUUCCAGGAAAAAAAAAGCUAUAAAAUAUUAUCCAUAUGCACCCAAAAACCUUUGACCUAGAAGAAAAACCCUAAGAAGGCCAAUCUUGUUGACCACCACUCCAUGAAGCAUGUCCUCGAGGAGAAGAUUCAUUCACAAGAAGAAGAACAAGACGAGGAAGAAGAAGACCAAGAAGAAGAUUACGAAGAAGACGUUUUCUAAACUAAACGAAAAUCAAGAGGAAGAAAAAGAAGAACAUAUCAUGAAUCAAAACAAAAAUUAUAUUAGUAUUGAAAAGAUACCUUCUCUGAAGGUUUUGAAACAGAGGAUUGUGUCUUCGGUAAUGGAGAUUCUUUCAUUAGGUGUAGUAGUUUUUUAAGCAACGGUUACACUCAGGUUUAGGGUUUUGUAUCGUUAAUUUGAACAAGAAAAAGGGAAGAAUAAUAAUAUAUAUGAUUACAAUUUUUUUGUUGUUGUGAAAUUCAAUGUCUAUUACUGUCAUUUUAUAUGAGGUUAUAUUUGUAAUCCAAUAAGUCAAAACAUGUGGAGGUAUACUGAGCAAAUCUGGAGGUCCCAAUAGCCGCACUCAAGUUAUAAUAGUUAAAUUUUGGUUACCUGCUGGAGCUCCUAAGAGCAACUUUAACAGACUCUCUAUUUUAGCUUUUAGCUUUUAGCUAUUUUAGAGAGCGUGUUUUAGUUUUUUUUUCGGUAGCUCCAACAGACUAGCCAAAGUUUAGCUAUUAUAACUUUUAGUUAUCUCGCUAGCUAAAUAUAUAGAGCGAGAUGACUCAGAUGAGGCUAGCUAUAAUUUAAUACAUUCCUUGUAAGAUAUUUUAUGUGAUAUAUAAAUAUAUUUAAACUAUUUAAUUUCUAUUUGAAGAAUAAUGUUGAUGUAAUGCUAGCUAAAAUAGAGAACAUUGAUGCAGCCACAUUUCUAAAGUGGCUAGCCAAAAUGACAUUUUAGCUAAUUUGUCUAAAAUUUAACUUAAAAAUAGCUAACAUUGUUAAAGAUGCUCUAAGAUGUCCGAAAAAGCUAAACACGCUCUCUAAAAUAACUAAGGAGCCAAAAUAAAAGUGCUAAAAAUAAUCUCAUAUGUGCAACUACCACAUACCUUUAUCCACCUAAAUAUGUCGGUAAUGAGGGAUAUGUAAUGACCAUUUCUAAUUUAAGAUAUCAAUAUAUUGGCUACGCCUUCUUUUUAAAAAUCAUUGUUUACCUAUUUAAAUCUAAAAGAAUGGACUGUAUCCAGAAAGGAUCGUGGUGCUCAAUUUUUUUUUUCCUCCUUGUUUGAAUUAAACUGAUCAUGAUGGGGUCGCAGCUUUGGUCUCAAAUUCUCGAGGCCAAAGACACAAACACAUUAGAGAUCAUCAGAUUCCCAUCUCUUGACGUAAUUUCAAAUGCAGAAAAGGAUAUUACAGCACCGGUUUUGUUCUGGUUGAAUAAUUAGGGCAUCCCUCAUUAAGUUAAUCAAAAGUAUGAUCGGUUCAGACUUCAGACCACAGUGUUUGAUAAAUUAUAAUAUUAUCCAGCUCUAAUAUUCUAACCUGAUUAGCUCACAUGUUCUUUGACUCUGUUAAUUUUAUGUUAGUUAAAUAGUUACAGUACUAAUCAUGGUGUGAAAGGGGAUUAAGCAAUGGACUGGUUAAAAAAAGCAAGAGGUUACCAGAAGAACCAUUCUUGUUCUUCACGAAAUACCAAAUGGACUCGUAGUGAUACUAGUCUUUCACUGAUAGAGGCCUUUCUGGCUUGGUGAUCAAGCUUUCUAGAGAAACCGGUGGCUCUGAGACUUAUCGGUAGCUUCAGCACCGCAGCUGGGUUUGACUGUGUCAAACGGUUGGAGAGUCUGACCUCAUUUGUUCAUAGCCUCUUGUGGCAUGGCAUCAUUGGCUUCCAUCUAAGAGAGAUUCCAAACAUUUCUCGAACAUUUCCUCUCUUCCGUAUCGAAGUAUUCCUAUCUAAACUCAAAACGCAAAGACGACCUCGAUAACAGUCUUCUAAACGCAAAAGACCUACAAAAGACAUCAUAAGAAUCUAAUUUGUUUAUCUCAAAUUGUUUUUUAUUUUAUUUCUAAGACCAUAGUAGUUGACCAUUUUAUUUAUUUUUGAAGAUAUUUGCUAUUUUGAAACAUUAUAAUGCAUUCUAUAAAUUUAUUUUUAUAUUUUAUUUAUGUUUAAGAAAAUUAUAUUUUCGUCCUUUUGUUAUGUGUCUUGCCCUAAUACAUGUAGAAUUGGUUAAUUCGGUUUUCUUAUUAGAAUAGAUUACAAUUAAUAGAACUUCUAGAUCAUUCGGGAGACUCUAUGUAAUACCUAUAAAUAAGUCUUUCUAUCAAUGAAUGAGUAGAUCGUUAUUCUCGUUAUCUUUUCUCCUUCAACAAUUUACUAUUAAAAAAUAAAAAAUAUGGAAAAUACAAAACCGCCUAGGCGGCCCGAUUAAUCCUCUGGGCGCUAGACGUUAGCUGUCCACCCGACUAACGCCUAGCGUUUUUUAGAACAUUGAUGAUCACAUUGCACAAGUUUUUUUUUGACAAAAUGAGAAAACCAUUUACUCACUCCAUUUUCACCUAAAAAGUUUUACUUUUUAAGUUUAAGUUCGUGUCACGCGGCAAAGAAAAAGAAGAGACAAGUAAAAGGAGGCCAAUAAAUCCAAGGUUUUUGAGUCAAACUCGUGCAUCAUCAGACCAAGCAAGAUUUUUUUUUUUUUUUUUUUGGUAAAUGAAAUAUAUUCAUUGAGAGAAGAAUCCCAAUGUCUAAGAGCAUCUCCCACCGUAAGCCAAAUUUCAAGCCAAAUUUAGCUUACAAAACAAGAAUAUUUUGUAGAAUCUUUUUUUAGCUUAUCAAAUUCUCUCACCAUAAGCCAAAUCCUAAGGUAAAGCCAUUUUUUUUUUCUUUUGUUAUAUAUUUGUUUAAUUCAAUAAUUAGCCAUGAAAAAGAUUUUAUAUAAAUAUAUUCAAUAUGGGGCUCAUAUGAAAGAUCUCGUCGAGAUCAUCGCGAUGAUAUAAAAUUUUGUUAGUAACAAAUUUUUAAUUUAGAUGCUAGUAUAAAUUAGAAUAACAAUAUUUAAAGUUAAAUAGAAUAAUACUUAGUUUUAGCCUACCAAACCCAUAAGCCAAAUUUGGCUUACAAAAUAAGUCAAGCUAAAUUUUUUGUCUUGAGAAUUGUAAUUUGGCUUAUGGUGAGAGUAACUAUAGGCUAAAUUUGGCUUUUUAGCCUAUAUUUUAGCCUAUAGUAAGAGAUGGUCUAAACGGCUUACAAACAGCAUAUAUAAAUACAAAAAAACUUAUCAUCUAAAUCAAUACAGAAAUAGAUACCGAAGAGCUUUCUUGCCAACAAAUAAGAGAGCAGCGACCAGACCAAUCAAGAUCUUCAUGAAAGACAGAGCGACUGGUUUGCCCGGUACCUUUUUUCCAAAUGGAUGACUCCACAGCUUCCUUGACUGACUGACACAUGAGUUCCGCCACCUCCCAUUUUUUCGUCUCUCAAAUACCUGAGUUCCACGAAACUUCGUCACAUAGCUUAUAUAUAGCACUACCACACCGAGCUGGGUUUGGUUCUCCUCCAGUCCAUGAUCCUUUCCCUUCCCAAAUCUCAAAGCUUUUCUUCCAGGUACGCCACCCCUUCAGCUUGGUUUGUCUUCCUCUCCAGUAAAGUUUCCUUCUUUGCUUCUAAAUUGAUCUUGGACUUCAGCCAGUUUGCUUCAUGUGUUCUUGAGGUUAUUGAGGUUUCAUAUUGAUUUGAUGUUAAUGGGUACGGGAAGCUUAUGCCUUUUCCACCAUGGUGGGGGUUGUUUUGAUUUUGUGUGUUAGAUUUCAAUUCAAGGUUUAGUACUUUUAGUCACCUUUAGGAUCUUGGGGGUUCAGGGUUUUACCCAGAACCAAUUUGAUUGNNNNNNNNNNNNNNNNNNNNCGAAUUAUCUAUGCUUCUUCUUGGUUGGGUGCCUGCAUAGGAGUCCUGCUUUAAGUUUUUUUUNUUUUUUUUUUUCUUUUCCUCUCUUUGAACUUCUGCAUGUAUAGAGGAAUGCUAUUUUCUAUUUAAAGAGAAAAGAAAUCAUAAUAGGAAUUGACAUUAUAAAUAUAAAAGGAUCACGGAUGUUCAUAAUUUUUCCUCCUUGUUAGAAUAAAACUGAUCAUGAUAGGGCAGCAGCUUUGAUUUCGCAUUCUUGAGGCUGAAGAAACAAACGCAUAAGAGAUCAUCAGAUUCCCAUUUCUUGAUGGUUCCAAAAUGCAGAAAAUAUAUUAAAGCAGCUGUUUUCUUCUGAUUAGUUAAUCAAAAGUAUGAAAGGUUCAGACCAGUGUGUGUUUAGGAUUAUUGUCCAGCUCUAAUAUUCCAACCUGAUCACCUCACAUGCUCUCUGAGUCUGACUCUGUAAAUUAUAUGUUUUAUACAGUACUAAUCGUGGUGUGAAAGGGCAUUAAAACAAUGGAUUAGGUAACAAUAACCUGAGAUUAAUACCAGAAGAUCCAUUCUUGUUCUUCACGAAUAUGAAAUGGAACCGUAGUGAUAGUCUCUCGCAGAUAGGCUUUCUGGCUUGGUGAUCAAGCUACCUAGAGAAACCGGUGGCUCUGAGUCUUAUCGGUAGCUUCAGCUGGGUUUGACUGUGUCAAAAGGUUGAAGAGUCAACCUCGCUCAGCUGUUCAUAGCCUCAGGUGGCAUGACUGCCUUUCAUCGAAUACAAGAGGUAAUUCUCAAACCCCAAGUUACAAUAAGCACCUAAGGAUAUUCCUAAAUUAUUAUCAGACAAUGCCAUAAAUAAUAGAUUUUUUAACAAACACCAACCGGCAAAAAUAACUAUUCUAAUAACAACUUUAUUUGCUAUCAAACAGUGGUGACACAAUAAAAAGAUCACUACUACAUAUGUAACAUUUUUACAUAAACUUGUUUUUGAGUAGUUAUCUCUUUCUCUACAUGAAUCCCUCAGGUGUAAAGAAACCUAUGUUGCACGGACACUCCACCCACCCAUGUGGAGUGUCGGAGUGUCCAACACUCCCGACACACCGACACGCACGUGGCAUGUCCGGAAAAGUUGACUUUUCCGACACGUUGACCGGCCCAACAUGCCAUCUCCGACACGCCACGUUAUUAUUUUUCAAAUUUUUAACAAAGAAAAAAAAGAAGAAAAGAAAGAAAAAUGAAACCAAAACCUAAAACAUAAAUGGGAAGUAGUUGUGAAGAGGUCGCACACAAUCAAAAGAGAAAAGAACGCAAAUGAACAAAAGAACGGAGACGAAAAUGAACUAGCCCCAUUUGGUUUAAACGGCGAGUUCAAAACGCAGACGAGUGGUUCUGCUAGACCAAGCUUUGGUCCUUGCCAGAUCAAGUUCUCGGGUCGAACGACGAGUUUAGGAUACCAAAAUGACCGUGGCUCGAUGCGUUAGCGUCGACGAACAUGGUCAACCUCAUGGCCAGAGCCUGGAAGCAAAUUUGAUCGCCGAUCGGUGCUUCAAAGACAAGAUUGCAAACAAAAGAGAGAGGAGCAUGUGGUGAGAGAGACGAUGCUCCAUAUGAUUUUCGAUUUUGAAAUCAAAACUGAAUUUUGAUUUAAGAGUGAAGAAGAAGAAGUGGAUUGUUUUCAGUAUCAAAAAGAAGAAGAGUCGGAUAGAAUUUGGGUGGGUUUAGUCAAAUAUAUACAGAGGAAGAGGGAUUUUGCGUCAGAAACAAAGAGAAAGAGGGAGAAGUUGCAUGGCGGCGUGAGUGUUCCUCACACAAAGAACAACAAAAUAACCAAAUAAAUUAUUAUAAUAUAUUUUAUUUUAUGUUUUUAGUGUUUUAUAUAUAUUAAAAAUAUAGUAAAAUAUUAUAUAUUUACCGUGUCCAAGCCGUGUCGGAACUUAAGUUUUUGGGAUUUGCUGUGUCGCCGUGUCUGUGUCCGUGUCCAUGCAACAUAGAAAGAAACAAAGUGAACACAGUGGCACAGUUGGGUACAAAUAAAAGAAAAGAGUUUCAACUUAACCCCUAUAGGUGAUUGAGUUGGUAAAAAUGUAUGUGUGACACCCCAUCACAUUUACAAUGAGAGAAACUAAUUCACUUUAACCAAUUUACCAGCUCCACAAGAAUCGGUUAUAUCUUUAAUCAAGGGGCACGGUUACUUACUUGAAAUAGAAUUAAAAAAUGAUUGAAUGAUUGUUAUUCGUUACACAUAAUGGAAUCAGAAUAGAUGUGGGUCCCACCACCUAACCAAGAAUUGAUUCCUUAAUAACCCGAAAUUGUAAUUUCAAGGAGGGAGGCGGGUUUAUAAAUGAUAUCAUCAGGAAUCAACUUUUAUAUCUAUAAUACCCUCUAUUAGUUUUAAUAUGCUAAUAAUAAUGUGAAAGUUUUUUAGUUUUUUUUAGAUACUAAUGCUAGUGAUCAAUUUUUUUAUUAUUCUUUUUUAGAUACUAAUAAUAUGCUAUUUACGGAAGUUGUUUAAUUUUAUAUGUAGAAGAAUAAUAAGUAUGAUAUCUUAAUUUUGUUGUUCAACCCUUGCAUCUUGUUGUUUGAUAUACAACUCAAAAUACUAAUACUACUAGGACCAAAUGAUUUUGAUAAAUGAUGAUAAAAGAGACGAGAUUGCAAUAUAUACAAGCACACACGUAACCUCUAUAUUAAAUUAUUAAUAUGUAACCCCCAGUAUUUUAGUAAUCAAAACUGUAAUUAGUUAUAUUGUUAGUCUAAUUUCAUGGUAAGUAAACAACUCAAUGAAAUUAGGGAAAAUGCCCAUUUAGUACUAAUUUAAACCAUUUAUUUCUCAUUCUAAUGAAAAUCUUUUUCAUUAGCCCAUUUCAAUAUAAGGUGACCUUUUUUAUGUCCAAAUGCACAAAUCUUUAUGCCCAAAUGCACAAAUCUUUACUAAAGUCUUAACAAACCAUAUUAUUUUAAGACUAUUUUGUCAUCACCUCUUACAUAUGCAUAGAGAGAGAAAAUAAAAGAGAGAAUACUUGGCCGGAAUCUCACCGAACUCUUGUCACCGGCCGCCGGACUCCGGUCAUCGGAAUUUCUCCUGUAACUAGUUACUGACCCCCAAUAACCAGUUACUGACCAGUUAAUGACCCUUAAUAACCAGUUACUGACCCCUAGUAACCAGUUACUCACCAAUUACUAACACCUAGUAACCAGUUUCUAACCCCCAGUAACUGGUUACUGGGUGUUAGUAACCAGUUAUUGACCAGUUACUGACACCCAGUUACUGACCAGUUAAUGACCCCUAAUAACCAGUUACUGACCCCUAGUAACUAGUUACUCACUAGUUACUGACACUUAGUAACUAGUUUCUGACCCCCAGUAACUAGUUACUGGGUGUCAGUAACCAGUUAUUGACCAGUUACUGACAACCAGUAACUGACCCUUAAUAAUCGUGUUAUUAACCUCUAAUAAUCAGUUACUGACCCCCAAUAAUCAACUUAUUGUAAUAGAAAAGAAGAAAUACCAGAACAUAAUCGAGUUAUUCACCACCAAUAAUCAAUCAAAACUAUAACACAAAUAAUCAAGUUACCUAUCAGCUACAAAAAUACAACUACACCUACCGUAGACCAAUGCACCCUCACACACCGGAUCUACUCCCUUACCAUGUGCCUUCCCUCACCGUACCUACUCCUCCCUCAUCAAAACUGCUUCACCUCCCUCACCACGCACCCGACGCCUUUGAUCUGGCUAUGGAGGCCGAGCGCCGAGAGAAGACCGACGACCGCCGAGCGUCAAGAGAAGACCGAUGACCGCUGAGCGCCGAGAAGACCGCCGAGCGCCAAGCGCUGAGAGAAGACCGACGACAGCCGAGUGCUGACCGACAAGCGCUGAGAGAUAAGCCUCGACCGACGAGCGGCGAGAGACCAGCGGUGACCGACGAGCGCCUAGAGACGAGAGGAGGUCGGAGGAGAGCGGUGCGCUCAUCAGGAUGUAGCGGACAGACGUCCCUCAACGGAAGAGGUCGCCGGAGAUGGUGGAGGCGAGGAUGAGGUCGCCGACGAAGGAUCUGUGAGAGAGAGAGAGAGAGAGAGAGAGAGAGAGAGAGAGAGAGAGAGAGAGAGAGAGAGAGAGAGAGAGAGAGGAGAGAGAGAGAGAGAAAGAGAAAAAGAUGAGAUUUGUAUGGGUUUAAUUCUAUAGAGGGUAAUAAUAUCUUUUGCAUAAGAAUCAUUGAAAUGACUAACAUAAAAGAUUUACAUUGAAGUGGACAUUAAAAUCCCUGUUUUUGGGCAUUUGGGCAUUUUCCCAUAAAAUUAAACUCUCCACAUACUAUUCUAUUCUGUCUCUCAUUCCUUUAUUCUUCUAUUCCUGACGAAAUUUAUUCCAAGUAAGUAAACGUGCCCAAGAUGUAUAUGAAAUCACUAAUCGAGUAAAUCGACCUCUCAAUUAGCUUGAAAUCACAAUGUAUUUUCAAAACAAUAGGAAGCUUGAGUUUGUCACAAUUGGUAAAAGAGCAGAAGAGAAAAAAAUCCAUUUUUAGAGUAACAUUUUGCAUCACCAGAUCAGACCAAACAAAGUUUCAAUGAAAGACAGACUUGGACACUAGGUUUAUAAUUUCUAAAAAUGGAUGACUCCCUGGCUUCCUAGACCGACACAUCCAUUUUCGUCUCCACAAAUAUCUGACUUCCAAGAAACUUCACCACCCUCAGCUCAUUAUAAAUAGCACUACCACAGUCCCAAAGCUUUUCUUCGAGUCCAUGACCCUUUUCCUUCUCAAAUCUCAAAGCUUUUCUUCAAGGUACGCCAGCCCUUCAGCUUGGUUUGUCUUUCUCUUCACUAAAGGUUCGUUCUUUGCUUAAAAAUCUAAUCUUUGACUUGAACCCUUUUGCUUGUAGUGAAAGAUUGAUGAAAUUCUUAAGGUUGGUCAACUUGGGUUUAAUCUAGUGUUGAUGGGUAUGGAAAAGUUUAUGCCUUUUCUUCCAUUGUGGGGUUGUUUCGAUUUUGUGUGCUAGAUUUCAAUUCUAGGGUUUAGUCACCUUUAUGAUUUUGGGGGUUUAGGGUUUUACCCAGAAUCAUUUUGAUUGUUUGUGAAUAUGGAUCCAACUUACACUGGACUCCCUGAUUUCAUGAACGACAUUGAUUUCGAGCCCAUGUUACCCAAUUCAUCUCAAUUCCCAGACAUCUCAAAUCAGUACCAAUUUAACCAGCUCUCUCCAGAUCUUGAUUUUCUGAGCAAUCAGUUUUCAAUUCCACCGGAACCGGAAUCCGGUAAUCUUGUUCCUCCAAUUAGUGUUAGCACAGAGGGAGAGUCAUUUAAUCCUAAUGGAGGCUCAUUUUCUGGUCCUACUACUGUGAGCCCUGGAGUGGACUCUCCUUCCUCUGAUGAUAUUGACUUCUCUGAAACUGUGUUCAAGUAUGUAAACCAGAUGCUUCUAGAGGAGAACGUAGAGCAAAUGCCUAUCAUGUUCCAUGAUCCAUUGGGCCUUCGUGUCACCGAGAAAUCUUUCUUUGAUGUUCUUGGCCAACAGUAUCCAUUCUCACCAAAUCAGCAACAACAACAACCACAACAACAACAGCAAACACUUUAUGUUGAUCAACCCAACCGGCAACCGCUUUAUGUUGACCAAAAAGUUGAGAGCCCUGAUGAUUAUUUUGCCGGAAGCAGUAGUGAUUUCAAUGCUAGUAGUAGUAGUCCUAGUACUGGCAGUAGCAACUCGGCUGAUUAUCAGUCGCGUGGUGAAUCUGGAGAGCAGAAGCCAUCUUUUUCACAAACCUCUCUUUCUAGUGACAGUGUGAACCAUUCCACUUCCAAUUCCAAUUCGCAACCGUCUCUUCCUCUGACAAAUAGCCUGUCUACCUUUGGUGAUGGGAUGUUGGAAGCUUCUGUGAAUCAGUUUCUGGCUCAGAAUAUAUUUACAGAUAGUGAAUCUGUCUUGCAGUUUCAGAGAGGGGUAGAGGAAGCUAGUAAGUUCCUUCCUAAAGUUAAUCCAUUGGUUAUUGAUUUGGAAAGCAGUAGUGUGUCUUCAGAAGUGAAAGGACAUGCUUCAACUGUUGUCGUCAAGAAGGAAAAGAGUGAGAGGAAGACCUCACCUAGUAAGCGAAGGGGAAGGAGGAACUCACCGAAUGGGUCAAUGGAAAGGAAGAAGUCACCUAAUGGGUCAAAAGGAAAGAAGAAUCACGAGCGAGAAGAUGUGGAUUCUGAAGGGAGGAGUAGCAAGCAGUCUGCAGUUUUUAAGGAGGAGAUGGAGGAGGAGGAGGAGGAAUUAUCUGAGUUGUUUGACAAGGUCUUGCUUUGUACGGACGGGGGUAAUCAGUCUUCAUGUGGUUCAUGUGGCGACAAUGUAGAUGUGAAGAAUGAAGAAAGCAAAAACUUACAGCCAAAUGGACAGCCACUGGCAUCAAAUGGUGAAGGUGGGAAGGCUCGUGCUAAGAAACAAGGCAAGAAGAAGGAAACUGUGGAUUUAAGAAAUCUCCUGAUUCUCUGUGCACAAGCUGUGUCUGUCAAUGAUUAUAGGACCUCUACCGAACUACUAAAGCAAAUUAGGCAGCAUUCUUCUCCUUUUGGCGAUGGAUCUCAGAGGUUGGCUCAUUUCUUUGCAAAUGGCCUGGAGGCACGAAUGGCUGGUACUGGCACUGGAACCCAGAUUUUUUAUACUUCCCUUGCUUCCAAAAAGACAUCGGCUGUUGAGAUUUUGAAAUCUUACCAAGUCAGUCUUGCAUCUUGCCCUUUUAAAAGGAUGUCAAUUUUCUUCAAAAACAAGAUGAUUUUUAAGAUGGCUGAGAAAGCAACUACCCUCCAUAUUGUGGAUUUUGGUAUCCUGUAUGGUUUUCAGUGGCCAAUCCUUAUCCACAAGCUUUCAAUGAGACCUGGUGGACCUCCCAAGCUACGAAUUACAGGGAUAGAGGUUCCCCAACCUGGAUUUCGCCCAGCAGAGUGGAUCGAAGAGACUGGAAGACGCUUGGCAAAAUAUUGUGAGCGCUUUAAGGUUCCUUUUGAGUUUAAUGCGAUAGCUUCGCAAAAUUGGGAGUCCAUCAAAGUAGAGGACCUCAAGGUUGAGAGGAAUGAGGUGCUUGCUGUGAAUUGUAUGUUACGGUUCAAAAACCUACUGGAUGAGACAGUUGAAGUGAAUUGUCCAAGAGAUUCUGUUCUAAAGCUAAUCAGGAGUUUGAAACCAGAUAUUUUUGUUCAUACUAUUAUUAAUGGUGCCUACAAUGCCCCAUUCUUUGUCACUCGAUUUCGGGAGGCUCUCUUCCACUUCUCUGCCUUGUAUGAUGUGUUUGAUGUUAAUAUACCCCGUGACAAUCCACAGAGGUUGAUGUUUGAAGCAGAGUUCUAUGGCCGAGAGGCCAUGAAUGUGAUAGCAUGUGAGGGGAUAGAGAGGGUUGAGAGGGCCGAGACAUACAAGCAGUGGCAAGUACGCUGUCAAAGGGCUGGUUUACAGCUUUUGCCAUUGGACCAAGAGUUAGUGAAGGUGUUUAGGGAUAAGGUGAAGGAAUGGUACCACAAAGAUUUCACAAUUGAUCAAGAUAGUAAUUGGAUGCUUCAAGGAUGGAAAGGCCGAAUUGUCUAUGCUUCUUCUUGUUGGGUGCCUGCAUAAGAGUCUUACAAAUCAUUUCUUUUUGGAAGUUUGUUAUUCUGUGAGACUGGAGAUGAAAAGGAUGUCAAGUUACCAGUUCAGAGGUAUUAUUUCCUCUUGCAUCUUUGUAUUCCUUUUUCUUAUGUAUGAAGAUGUUCCGCUUCUAUACUAUAAAGUUGGUCACCGGUAGUGAUAAAUUUGAAUUAUUUGACCGACUCAGCAAGAGAAAAAGAAGCUGACCAUAUUUUCAUAUUUUACAGAUCAAUUGUGGUAGUACUUACUUCUUGCGGAAGAACGUAAGUAGGAGGUGAUGAUUUGCUUAGAUGGCUGCGGCAACUCAAAUGGAUGCAAUAUCUGAAGGUUUUUUGGUCUGAUAAAUGACAAUCUGAGAUAUAGGGUUCUAAUAUGAUAUGUAGUUGUCUAGAUGCAGUUGGUUGUAUGACUAACAAAACUGCUUAGAUAGUGAACAAAAUAGGAACUUCUGUUGUGAUGGAAAGCUAAUGUUACACUAAAAUUGCCUACUGGCAUACUUGGUGGGGCACUUGUAUCCUUGAUCCUUGUAUUUACCAUAGGUUUAGGAAUGGAAGGGUUUAGAUGUUCUGAAUCUUUGUACAAUCUUUUGGAAACUUGGAAGCUAUAUAUCUGUUUUAUCAGAUAUUCUCAAGAAGUGGACUUUUCAUUUAAUUUAUAGUACAUGCUUUUUAUGUGGUUUAUUCAUCUGUCAUUUGCGUUGCUCAUAGUUCUCUCUGUUCUUGGUUUUUGUAUUGCAAGGCUGAUAGCUUCUUUAUUUUUCUAUAAAACUGCUGUGAGAAUUUUUGAAUGACUGCAUUUUCAGAAACAAGAAACAGUGACAUCAAAUUGCAUUAUGUAGUUGUAGUCCCAAUUAUUCUUGUGCUGUGGAAGUUAAUUAAUUGAUGACCUUCAGUUUUUGUUGGAGAAGGCAUUUUCCACCUAUUCAGCUAGGUGAUUCAUGGUUAUCACGCUGGAUGAUAGAUAGUGGAUACAGUGACAAAAAUGUGAAGUUAUUUGACUCUUUGUUGAAUCUAUGCUGCCUUUUCUGUUCACGUUGAAAAUCUCUCUGAUAUGUUGGAGAUGGUUGGGUCAUCCAUCUAUGUUCUCGCUUUCACCUUCAUACUGAAAUCACCUCACAUAUGCUAUUGAGUGCGCUCCUCUUGAUGAUUUAGCCUUUUUCAGAAAGAAAUUAUGCAAAGAAAUUUUUCUACUAUAUAUCUUCACCAAAGUUGAGCAACUGAUUGCUGAUGAGCACCUCCAAAUUUCGAUUGCCUCUAUAAUGCUCUGGCAUGAUGGUGAACACCUUUUGUCUUUGUUUUUUGGUACCGGAUGUUUACAUCAUCUAAUUUUAUAGUGUGGCGACAGAUGUUGAACACAUAUGAUUGUUUUUCUCUCCAAAAUUACAGGCUUUUGAUUCUUAAACUUUGAAAUUUACUAUAUUACUGAUCUAACAAAACUCAGGAGCACUGAUCUUGGUAGGAUUUUCAUUUAUUUAUUAAUUAAGUUGAUUUAGAACCGGCAUCCAUGUGGUUUGAUGUUUGACAUUUCCCUAAUACACUAAUAGUAGUAUGAUUUUUAAAUGAUAAACUUCAGCAGUGAGUGCUAUCAUGGUUUUUUAUAUCAUCUAUUAUUCGUUUGCCUUGACUGUAACACCAGAAAAUUAUAAUCACGCAUGAGUUUAGGACUGUCCAUUUGUCCCGGUGCAUUUCAUCUUUAUGUUUAAAUACUUAUAUAGUCCACUUGAUUUGUACAACAAUCAGACUGAUUGGCUCUCUCCCAUAUAGUCUGGACUUGUUAGAAGGUGGAGGCUAACAUAUUAUAGUUUAAGAUUGGUAAAAAUUAAGAUUUAAUGCCUUCUCAGAAUGAAGGAUCAUUAAUUCAUUUCUGUGAAGAUUGCUGUCGAGCUUUUGUUUAAGAAGGCAAAUAACACACAUCCAGUCACUGUCUGAUCAUUAACAUUUUCCUCAGGUGUGACUUACUCUCCAAUUUCUUGUAACUUAGUUAUUCCUUGAGAUGUUUCAGCUUUUAUUCAAUGUUUUUCUGAAUUAUUUAUGUGUUGGUAACCUGUUUGUCAUAUUGUACAAAGUCUGAAUCAAUAUUUGUUAGUUCUUCCUUCCUUGAAUUGGUUCAGCUUUCAUUCAUUGAUUGUUCGUUUGUUUUGUUCAUGUUCAUGGUUGAUAUUGUACAGAUCAUGCUCUCUUUUUCUAGAUUUUUAAUAUAUCCAAUUUUGUUUUUCCUAAAGCUUCUUCUGAUGAGUUGAUUGCAUAUGACAGUUGAGAUUUCUUUCUGCAAAGAUAGGUUGGUGUCAUGCAUACACUUCUUGAGAGUUUUUCUGUUCCCAUGGAAUCAUUCAUAUUUGAUCAGGGCUCAGUUUCAAACUAUUCUUAUCCAGAUCAUGGUAAUGGGUUUGAAGUAAAUCAUGAACUCGUCAACCCAGUUUUCCAUCCAACCAACUUGGACCUCCCUAGUGAUUCUAGUACAUCUUUUAACCCGGCUUCAGACGGAUAUUCUGGUGACAGUAAUGACUACAAUAAUCCUGUUCUUAAGUACAUAAGUGAUAUUCUUCUUGAAGAAGACAUUGAGGAUAAGCCCUGUAUGUUGCAGGACUGUUUGGCCCUCCAAGCUGCAGAGAAAUCAUUCUAUGAUGUCCUUAAUCAAAAGGAUUCUACAACACUCCAUCAAAGCUUUGAGUACUCGGAUGAUUACAGGAAUAGUUGUUUUAGCAAUGGUGGCGCUAUUCUUGGCAAGACAUACGGGGUUGCUGAUCCUUCAGAAACAUGUCAUGUGCAAUCUUCUCUUGUUCAAUGUCUGUCGGAUACCUCUUUGGUUACUGAUACACUUUCAAAGCUGCAUAGUCUUGGGGAUUCUGGAAGGGUGGAGGAAGCAAAUAAGUUGGUUGAAAAUUUUAAAAUCAUUGAUGCAGAGAAGUACCAAUUAAUGCCUCGAGGUUCUCAGACACUUGUAGGAUCAAAUUCAGCGUCUCAGCAACAGAAUGAUGGGUACAACUCAGCAUAUAGAUCAGAGGCAAAGAAAAAUCGUCAAAGGCAGGAUAGUCAUUGUCCAGAAGAAUGGAGAAGCAACAAGCAGUCAGUUGCAUAUUGUGCUGAUGAUUCUGAGCCACAGGACAUGUUUGAUAAGGCGUUGCUCUUUCAAGGUGUGAAUCAUGAGUCCGCUGAGUCUAUUUCUCAUCAUGAUUGUUCUAAUGUGGGAAGCAGGCAGCCCAAAGGAUCUAAGUCAGCGCGUUCAAAGAGACAAAAUAAAAAGGAGAAAGUAGUAGAUUUGUGCACAAUGUUAACUCAGUGCGCCCAAGCUGUUGCAAGUUAUGACCAACGAAAUGCUGUUGAACUACUGAAGCAGAUCAGGCAGCACUCUUCUCCCUAUGGUGAUGCAACCCAGAGAUUAGCUCAUUACUUUGCUGAUGGCCUUGAGGUACGCUUAGCUGGCGCUAGAACCCCGUCAUAUUCGCCUAUUGCAAGUAUGCAGAUAUCAACUGUUGAAAUACUGAAAAGCUACCAGAUGUAUGUCACUUCAACCCCUCUCAAGACUGUGCCAAUUUUUUUUGCCAAUAUGACAAUUAUGAAACUAGCAAGAAAAGCGACAAGUCUUCACAUUAUUGAUUUUGGUACUUCUUAUGGUUUCCAAUGGCCCUCUCUAAUCCAAUGUCUUUCAGAGAGAUAUGGUGGACCUCCUAAUCUCCGUAUCACUACGAUUGAGCUUCCCCAACCAGGUUUUAGACCCACGGAGAGGAUUGAAGAGACCGGUCGUCGCUUAGCAAAGUAUUGUGAUAGAUUUAGUGUCCCAUUUGAGUUCCAUGUCAUUGCUCAGAAAUGGGAAACUGUAGGAUUUGAUGAUCUUAAAAUUGACAGAAAUGAGCUGAUUGUGGUCAACUGUCUACACCGGUUGAAGCACGUUCCUGAUGUGACAAUGAUGGGGAAGAGUCCAAGAGAUGCUGUCCUAAAGUUGAUCAGGAAAAUCAAUCCAGAAAUUUUCAUUCAUGGGGUUGUCAAUGGGGCAUAUAAUUCACCCUUCUUUCUCACACGUUUCAAACAGGCACUCUCUCACUUUGAGGCAAUCUUUGAUGUCUUUGAGGCCACCAUUCCUUGUGAGGAUCAACAACGAAUGUUUUUUGAAAGAGCAGGAUAUGGUAGAGACAUAAUGAAUGUAGUGGCAUGUGAGGGACUGGAAAUAGUUGAAAGGCCUGAGACAUAUCAGAAGUGGCAGGUCAGGAAUGUGAGGGCUGGGCUGAAGCAGCUCCCAUUAGACCAGGAGCUGUUGAAGAAGGUGAAGACUAUGUCAAAGUCGAUGGAUUAUCACAGUGAUUUUAGGAUUGAUGAAGAUGAGCAAUGGAUGCUGCAGGGUUGGAAAGGAAGAGUCCUCAUGGCCCUUUCCUUGUGGAAACGCGAGUAGGAGUUUCACAAUCUGGAUUCAUUGUUGGUUCUCAAUUUUUGCUGUAAUCUUUCACAUAUAAAAUGGUCCUGUAUAUGAUACUGUUGUCAUGGUUUAAUGAGUUCAUUGUUAAUAUUCACUCAUUCAUCUCUGUCAAAUGGAGCUGAUAUAAGAUCAGUGUCAUUCAAUUUCAAACUAAGCUUGAUAUCAGGGUGGCUUCUGGACAAACACAUUCUUUGUUGGCAAGUAAUCUGUGAUUUUGGUAUUUCCACCUGUUCAGGUGGGUGAUCAAUGACCCACCUAAACAAGUUCUCUGUUAUCUAUGAUCAGUGUAACAGGUGGUUUCUGUUUUUGCUUCACUAUGUUAGUUGUGAAAUUUUUCUUGUAUAAACUCACUGGCCAUUUCCUGACAUCUGCACAGAAAAAAAAAAAAGAAGGGAAAUUGUAACUUCUUAUAACAUAAAAAGAGGCAGAAGAAGUGAAGAACAAACAUUAAUUUCUGAGGUAGGAGCUAAGGAAAACUAAUGUGUUUGAUUCAAGUCUUGGUGAUUAUAAAGACUGUAAGGUUUGUAUUGUUAAUAUACGAAGGGUCUAAAUUUGGAAGCAGAACAACCCACAAGUUUAAUUGAUUGAGUUAGAAUUUGAAUCAAGGUGUAUAGAAUUGGUUUUGAGUUGCAUAGUUUCACACCAGCAACUUUUCAUGCCAACAUCAGUCGUUGGAUCUAAAUAAUAUAAUUAGGUUCCAAAGAUGAAGCAGUGUACUUUGUUCUAAUCCAAAGUCCUAUCCGAAGAGCCAAGACAAAUUCAUGUAUGUAUGUAACCCUUGAGCUAUUAUGGUCAAAUGAUUAUACUUGUUCAUAUGAUAAUGUUGAGUAAUAUUUUCUCAUUUGAAAACUAUAUUUGACUGAAGGUUUAUAUGUCUUGCCUUGUAUUAAAGAGAAGAGUAUCCUCCAAGUCUCCAACUAAUGCCAUUAGUCCAUGACUAACAUAAAACUCUUAAUUUGACACGCAACUAUGGAAAGGUGAUUGCGGUCCGUUAGUCAAACGGAGGAAUUCCAUCAGCAUCAUUUCUUUUUGGCAAAGAGCAGCGUACAAAAUCACUUAGAUCUCAUCUCACAUGUGAUGUCUAACUUUUAUAGCAAUAUCAUAGGUUUCAAAAUAGAUGUAACAUGGUGGUCAAAAAAGUUGUAUAUCAUUUGUCCGUAAUUUGAUAUUAGUAGAGCAUGUUUAGCAAUGUUAAUCAUUUUGUAGUCAUAUUUUAUCUAAGAAGCUAUGCAUCCACAUAGUUAUCUCUAUUCGUCCAUAAGUAGGAUUUUUCAUGGCUCAUUACCUCACUCUAUUGUUCAACCUCUUAAUUUAAAGUUUUUAUACCAAAAAGUCUUUUAUGCAAUGUAAGUGGCUAGUUUUUAUUAUUGUUCUUAUAAUAUAAAGUCUUCUAUGCACCGAGAGUCGUGAGCAUGUCUUCAAUCUUUGGGCCUUUGUUGGUGGGCGUAUACCAUAUUUUAUGUAAAUUUAAUAUUUUGUUCCAACUCAUGGUAAAGUUAAGUAUAUAUUUAUACCAGGUUCUGUUCUAAUAUGUUGAUAUAUUUAUUAUGAUCAUUAAGACUAACCCCCCCCCCCCCCCCCCCCCAAAAAAACCCCAAUUAUUAUAAAGCAAACAGAGUAUUUGAUAUGGAUAUAUGUGUAUCGUAAUAUGGAUGCAAAUUUACCGACCCCCCUAAUGCCCACCUACUCUUAUGUCAUGUGUCUUUUUGGUUAGUAAUAUAAAAUUAUAAUAGAUGCAUUCCAUUGUCAUUUUACUUGUAACUUUAAUUCUUUCAAAAUUAAUCUUUUUUAUUUGUUUAAGUUGAUCUCAAAAAGUCUUUUUCAUUUAUUACCCACGCAGGUUUUUGCUUUAGUUUUCAGAACACCCAAGCUCAUCUUAACUUCUUAAGCCUCAAAUCUAACGAAAGUGAAUUUUCAAGUGCAGAAAGUAGUUUAAGGAAAGCCUACAUGAUUAUCCUUUUGAAACAGCACCCCCGUAAGGAUAUAAUCAUAAUGUGGGUUAGGAGUUUGGGCAUCCAAUUACUUUGGCCAUCCCUAAAGUCUGAGUUAAGGGUCAAUUUUAUUUGAAUUUGGGCACAGUAGCUAGUCGACCUCAAUUUUAAGGUAUACAGUUUUUUUUUUCUUUCGAUUUAUGUAAACUUCUGGGUUUAAUCGGGUUUAGUUUUUUUUUUUUUGGACGAAAAAAGUCUUGGAGUUAUAUUAAUACGAGGAGUCUUCAUAAUUACCUUGUUUUUUUUUUUUUUUCAAAAAGGAGUUAAAGUUAAAAGUAAAAUGAAAACAUAAUGCAUUUUUUAUAAUUGAUAUUACUAACCAUGGUUAGAGAUGGUUAUGAAAAAUGACACAUGACAUAAGAGUAUGUGUGUGGGCAUUAGGGUGGGCAAAUAAGGAUAGUCGGUAAAUUUGCAUUCAUUGUAAUAUGGGGUUUCGGUUUUAUGUCUCCUCUUAUAUAAUCUGUUUAAACAAUAAAGGCAUGAGAGUGGUGGUUGUUGUACUAUAUAUCCUUAUUUCGAAAACAAAUGUAUUUGAUGUAAUUUGACUCUACAUACAUGGGUGCUCUAGAUCUUGUCCUUUUCUCAUAAUCUUGCUCUAAGAAAAAAAAAAUUACAAUUCAACUCUUAACCUUUUUUUUUUUUUUUUUUGUAAAAUGACAUGGUUUUCCAAAAGUUAAAAUAUUUGUAGACUUGACUUUGUCAGUUUAUCACUUUAUCUCGAGUGGCAGAUCAUCUUUUUGUUCUGGUUCUCCUCGCUCCACAAGAUCACCCUGACGUCUAAAACUGAUUGGCAUCCUAUUUGGCAAGACCUUCCCAGAAGCUUCAUUGCUAAGAAAAUUCAAGCUUCUUCUCCCAGCUUCUCAGCUUGACAUGCUUUGAAUAUAUAAACCAAACCUCCAGCCACUCUCAUUUUAGUCAGAGGUAAAGUAAUCUGCAUCCUUUCUUAUCUGAGCUUUACAUUCAGGUUCUGUUUGUUCAUAUCUACCAUUCUUGCAAAUAACCUGUUUGAUGAUUCAACUCAAGUCUGAGUCUUGCUCUCUUUCUGGGUAUCUCAUUUUUCUCUCUUCUUUUUUCCAAAGCUUUAAUCUUUAGUGUUACAGUUUCAUAUCUGAGUUGGGUUUCUUGACAAAUAGAUCUUGAUAGAUUAGUUGUUCCUAUGGAUACCCUUCAUAGAUAUUCUGUUCCAGAGUUCAAAUAUGACCAUGGCCCUGUUUCUGUCUGUCCAAAUCCAAUUGUAAAUGGGUUCAAAGUAAAUCAUGAAUCCACCAAUCCGGUGUUACCUGCAUCCAGAUCUGAGCUGUCUAGUGAUUCAAGUAAUGAGGGCUCAGAGGUAGAUGGUCUUGAUAUCAAUGACUGCAAUCAUCCUGUACUCAAGUACAUAAGUGAUAUUCUUCUAGAAGAAGACUUGGAGGGUAAGCCCUGCAUGUUGCAUGACUGUUUAGCCCUCCAAACUGCUGAGAAGUCUUUCUAUGAUGCCCUUGUUCAGAAGGACCCUCCUUUACCCAACCAACCCUCCUCUAGUUCUGUGCACCAAAGCUCUGAGAGUUCUGAUGAUGAUUCCCCACAGAGUUUCCAAAGCAGUAAUCGCUCCUUUCCUGUCAAGACAGAUUGGGUUUGGGAUCCGGCGUUCUCUCCUGUCCAAUCUUCUCUGUUUGAGUCUUUCUCCAAUACUCUUUUGGUUUCUGAUUCAAUUUCUAAGAUGCAAAGUCUUGGAAAUUUUGGAGGGGUGGGGGAAGCAAGCAAGUUCCUUUCAAAUGCGAAACUUGAAAUGGUUGACUUAGAUAGGUUUCAAUUGAUGCCUCAAGGUCCAGUCUCAUCUGAGUCAGGGGCGGAUGGAUACAGCUUUACAAAUGGAUCAAAGGGAAAGAAGACUCAUCAGAGGGAGGAUAGUCAUUUUCUAGAAGAAGAAGAGAGGAGCAGCAAGCAGUCAGCUGCUACAGGGGAUGACUUUGAGCCACAAGAAUUGUUUGACAAGGUUUUACUUUGUCCUCAUGAAAAUCAUGAGUCUGAGCUUUGUGCAGAUGAUGAGUCUUUUAAAACAGAAGGAAAUGGGAAGUUGCAGCGUAAAAAGCAGCCAAAAGGAUCAAAGGCAAAGCGACAGAAUAACAUUGGUGAAGUGGUAGAUUUGUGCACAAUGCUAACUCAAUGUGCACAAGCUGUGGCAAACUUUGACCAACGAACUGCAAGUGAACUACUCAAGCAGAUAAGGCAGCACUCAACCCCCCAUGGUGAUGCAACCCAGAGAUUAGCUCAUUACUUUGCUGAUGGCCUCCAGACACGCUUGGCUGGUGCCAAAACCCCAUCGUAUUCGCCUCUUGUAAGUGUGCAGAUAUCAGCUGCUGAAAUAUUGAAAGCAUACCAGGUAUUUAUUACAGCUUGCCCUUUCAAGAAGAUGUCACACUUCUUUGCCAACAGAACAAUUAUGAAACUAGCAGAAAAUGCAACAAGGCUUCACAUUAUUGAUUUUGGUAUUUCUUAUGGAUUUCAAUGGCCUUGCCUGAUUCAACGUCUGUCCCAAAGACCUGGUGGACCUCCUAAGCUUCGUAUCACAGCAAUUGAGCUGCCCCAACCAGGUUUUCGACCUACAGAAAGAGUUGAAGAGACCGGACGUCGCUUGGAAAAAUAUGCCAAGAGAUUUGAUGUCCCCUUUGAGUAUAAUGUCAUUGCUCAGAAAUGGGAAACUAUCCGAAUUGAGGACAUCAAAAUUGACAGAAGUGAGUUGAUUGUGGUCAAUUGUAUGCACCGUUUAAGGAACAUACCAGAUGAGACGGUGAUGGUGAACAGUCCAAGAGAUGCUGUCCUUAAGUUGAUAAGGAAAAUUAGUCCAGACCUUUUCAUUCAUGGUGUUGUCAAUGGGACAUAUAAUGCUCCCUUCUUUCUCACACGAUUCAGAGAGGCACUUCUCCACUACUAUACACUGUUUGAUAUGCUGGAGGCGACCAUCUCUCGUGAAGAUGGACAACAGCGGUUUAUGUUUGAGCAAGCAAUAUAUGGUAGAGAUGUAGUUAAUGUCGUAGCGUGUGAGGGACUGGAAAGAGUUGAUAGGCCUGAAACAUACAGACAAUGGCAGGCCAGGAAUGUGAGGGCUGGGUUCAAGCAGCUACCAUUAGACCAGAAGCUGUUGAAGAAAGUGAAGACUAUGUCAAAAGUCAUGUGUUAUCAUGAUGAUUUUAGAGUUGAUGAAGAUGGACAUUGGAUGCUGCAGGGAUGGAAAGGAAGAACCAUCAUGGCUCUUUCUUUUUGGAAGCCUACUUAGGAGUUGGACAUCGCUCUGUCUUUUGUUUUGGGACAAAGUUUGUUCUUGUGUUGUGAACUUUGAUAACUGCUGAAUGAGGUGGUCAUACAUUUCUACUCUUCUCCGUGACUGAGAGAUUGAUCUAGGAUUUAUAAUCUUUUAAAGCAAAGCUUGAGUCAUGCCCUAGUUCAUAUCAGGCUAUCUGCUUCUUCCCAGGCAACAAUCCUGGUUGGUCAGUUAUCCAUAAUUUUGGUAGAACAAGGUACUUUCACGUACUCAGGUGCAGUAGCGGAUUCAUGUUGGAUGGUGUCUCUGGGAAUCUAAUGCUACUUUGCCUCUUAGUAUUCGUAUUUUUUUUGGUUUGUUUGUGGGAUGAUUCUUUUGUAUUCCUCGGUUUACUUAUGGUACAUAUCCAUCUUGUGCCUUUGUAACCUUGUUGAAAGUCUGAUUAUUCUAUCUUUAUUUUUUCUUCGUUUACUCUGUACAAAUUCUGUACAAAAUUUAAUAAACAUUAUACAUUUGUCAUAGAAAAACCAGAUUUGGGGACUGCACCAUUUAUCUAUAACAGUAAUGCCUUUUAGGUUUCAUUUGGAAUUUGAUGUCAAUUGUUUACUUGGAAGCUAAGUUAUCGCGGGGGGAUGUUAUGAAACAAGUUUGAUUCUGUCAUGGUGUCUUGAGAUGAGGAAGACAGAAUGCUAGUCGUAGUUUGUAACUAUAUAGCUUCUUCUUCAGAUUGUUGCUAUUUGUUAUUUUUGGAACAAAUGCGAUGAGACUCAUAUCACUCCAUAUUACUAGAAAAGAUACAGAUAUAAAUCACUAAAAGCUAAUAAGACAAUACAAACAAUCCUGCCCCUGGUUAAAAGAGUGUACUGAAAAAAAAUAUUCAAGUACAAUGAGACUGAAAAUUGUAACUAGUUGUCUAUUGAAAACUCUCAUCAUAGGACAAAAUUAUUCAAAAAAAAGAAAAAAAAAAAAAAGAAAAAAAAAAAAACAAAAGUACAUAACAUUGUGAAACUGAAACGUACGUACUCUAGCCUCUAGGUCAUGGAACCUAGCUAGGCAGGUUUCCAAAAUGAAAGAGCCGUGAAGAUCCGUCCUUUCCAUCCAUGCAGCAUCCAAUCCCCAUCUUCAUCAAUUCUAAAAUCAUUAUGAUAAUCCAUCAACUUCGAAAAUUUCUUUGCUUUCUUCAUCAACUCCUGGUCCAAUGGGAGCUGCUUCAACCCAGCCCUCACAUUCCUGGUCUGCCACUUCUUGUAAGUCUCAGGCCUUUCAACCCUUUCCACUCCCUCGCAUGCUAUGAUAUUCAUUAUGUCUUUACCAUGAAUAUCUCUCUCCAACACCAUCCGACGCUUCUCUUCACGAGGAAUGGUUGCUUCAAAUAUAUCAAAUAUGGUAUAGUAGUGCAAGAGUGCCUCUUUGAACCGUGUGGCAAAGAAGGGUGUAUUGUGUCUCCCAUUGAUAACCCCAUGAAUGAAAAGGUUGGGAUUUAUAUUCUUGAUCAACUUCAGGACAGCAUCUCUCGGAGAGUUCUCCAUCACCGUCUCAUCAUGUAUGUGCCUUAACCGGUGCAGACAAUUCACAACCACCAGCUCAUUUCUGUCAAUUUUCAGAUCCUCACACCGGAUAGUUUCCCAUUUUUGAGCCAUGACAUUGUACUCAAACGGCACAUUGAACUUUGCACAAUACCUUGCUAGGAGGCGCAUGGUCUCUUCGACCCUUUCUGUAGGUCGGAAACCAGGUUGUGGAAGCUCAAUUGCUGUGAUAUGUAACUUAGGUGGUCCGUGAGGUCUUUCAGAGAGAUGUUGGAUAAGGCAGGGCCAUUGGAAACCAUAAGAAAUACCAAAAUCAAUAAUGUGAAGCCUUGUUUCAUUUUUUGCUAGCUUCAUGAUUGUUCUGUUGGCAAGGAAUCGUGAAAUCGUAAUGAAAGGGCAUGUAGAAGCAAAUACCUCGAAAGCUAGUAGGAUUUCAGCGGCUGAUGUGUGCCUACUAAAGAGAGGCGAAAACGAUGGGGUUCUGACACCAGUAAGGCGCGCCUCUAGGCCAUUGGCAAAGUAGUGAGCUAACCUUUGAGUUGCAUGGCCAUCGGGGGAGGAGUGCUGCCUUAUCUUCCUGAGUAGUUCGCUCGCUGUUCCUUGGUCAUAGCUUGCCACGGCUUGUGCACAUUGAUUUAGCAUGGUGGUCAAAUCUACUGCUUCCUCAUCCUUGUUCUGCUGCUUUGAACGAUUUGUUUUAGAUCCUUUUGACUGCCUGUUUUGCUGCAACUUCUCUGUUCCUUCCCUUUUCGUAGAACAAUGAGGCGUACAAGAUCCCCACUCCUCAUGAUGAUCACCUUGACAGAGUAACACCUUAUCAAAUAUUUCUUGAGGCACGGAGUCAUCGGCAGAAACAACUGACUGCUUGCUGCUUCUUCCUUCUUCUGGAUGCUGUUCAUCCUCUCUUUGAUGAUUCUUCUUUCCCUUUAAUCCAUUUGUUUGGUAUCUCUCCUUGUCAUUGAUAUCGAAAUUCCCAUUUGUACGGAACUUGCUUGCCUCUCCAGCCUGUCCAAGACUUUUCAUCUUGAAAAGAGAAUCUGAAACCGUAAGAGUAUCUGAAAAAGACUCGACAAGAGAAGAAUGAAUGGAAUCAUUUUGCGAGUACUCAGAGUUUUGGCAAGGCAGAGGGAGUUGGUUGGAGAAAGGAGGAUCCUUGGGAUACAGGGCAUCGUAGAAGGUUUUUUCAGCAGCUUGGAGAGCCAAACUGUCCUGUAACAUGCAGUUCUUUCCUUCCAGAUCUCCAUCAAGGAGAAUAUCACUUAUGGACUUGAGCGUUGGAUUGUUGAAGUAAUUUAUAUCGAAAGUUGCUUCCUCAGAAUCACUGGGAUGGAUAAGUGUGUUGGUGGAUUCGUGAUGCAUCUGAAACCGGUCGCCAAGAUUUGGAUUGGAAGCUACUGAAGUUAAGGCGUGGCCGAAGCUGGAUCUUUCCAUGGAUAGAACCUUGAAUUUCAAGAAACCCAAGUACAGCACGAGAGCUGAUGAGCAAAGAAGCACAGUGAAGUGAAUAUUAUAUAAUUCACUUGACAGAUAAGAACUGGAACCAAUAAUAGAGUUUCUUUCACUUGAGGAAAAUCAAUAUGAUUAAUGGAGCUGGAGGUGUAUAUACUAGUAUAUAUUUUCACAGAAGUAUGUAGCCUUUUCCAAAUAGAAGCUGGAGAUUGAACUAUUCACAGAGCAAUGGUCCUUAGGGAAAAUCUUGAACUUCAAAAGCAUGUAGUCUUACCAGUCAAAAGCCGCCUUCAAAUAAUUCAAUACAACUGAUGCACAUUGUAGAAUGUAGGAUUGAUGAUGGUAAUGUUUGGCUAAGGUCAGUUGUGGGCAUGUGGCUUUUGAGCUGACUCUUCUGUUUUUCUCAAGUCCUAAAGGAGCAGCUAACCUUGACUUUGUUAUUUGAACAGGACGGGGUCCUCACGUCCUAGACUGUCACACAUCACAUAUAGUGAUAUAACUAGCUAGCAACUUUCAUUCAAAUAUUUCUUUUUUCUUUUAUCUCUAUCGUAUAUGAGAAAAUGCUUCAUUAGCAAAAACAUAAAUUUAACAGAAGCCUAGAGGACCCUUAAGUUAAGGACUUGGUGAAGAUUUUUCGGCUUAUCCCACCUUUCGAUCUUAUAUCCACAUCUUGACCGUUUAAUUUAUAGGUAUUUAUGAGUAGAUCAUUUCUUCAAAUUUUCAGCUAUAUUGAAAAUUGUUAAGACAUUUAUGUGUGAUUUAUCAAUUAUGAACUUGAACGGUUCAUAUUUGACAGAUUUGGUUCGUCCAUUAAUUUGAUCUAGUUUGUUAUCUUAACGAACACCAAUUUAGGUGAAAAUUUGUAAAAAUGAUCUACUCAUAGAAACCUAAAAACUGAACGGAUGAGAUGUCAAAAUAUGAUCGAAAAUUGGGUCUUUUAAACCAUAAACUGAAAAGUCAUCAACUAGUCCUUAACUUAAGAGUUCUCAUUAGAAUGGCUCCCUAAAUUUAACUAUAUACAUUUGUUGGUUAACUGUUCAUAAGCAUGUGAACAGUGUUUUCACACUGUUCACUAACAACAGUGAACUUUUUUUUUUGGUUCUGAAACAGGUAAUUUAGAUUUUUUUAGAUAGGCUCUCUCUCGGUAAAGAAUUUUUUGCCCUCCAUUUUUGACUUUUCUUCUGCCUCCUGAAUCUUCCGGAUCGAUCUUACCUCUUCAGACCUCCUUUAUUUUUAUUUCUCCCGUCUCUCUGUCUUUGCAUCUCAGAGAAUAUCAUCAUUUCGUUCCAUCUCUUUCACUAUUGUUCCGUUUUGUGCCUAUAUACUAUUGUUUGGUUAACUGUUCAUAAGCACUAUGAAUAGUGUGUGGACCUUUUUACCCUGCUGAUGAGCUGUGUAAUUUCGUAUUUACCCUUCGUUUCAACUCUAGGUAUAAUUUUUUAUUUUUUUCUGCCGUUUCUCGCUCUCUCUCUCUCGCCCAACAUUUCUCCAUCUUUCUCACACUCUCUAGACUUUUCUCAAAAUAGCUUCAACAUUUCUCACAAAACAGAAGAAUCUAGAUAUAUUAAUAUAUCACCGUGAUAAUUUAUUACCUUGUUGUUUCACGGAACUAUUUUUGUCAUUUUCUCUUCUGCUUUGUUUGUAUACGUACAAAUCAAAACAAUUGGAGCAUUUAUAUUUUGGGUAGAACACAAGACUAGAUAUUUUGUUGUAUAAAUGUUAUUUUUAUGAUAGCUCUUAUACAUGUAGAAUAUGCAUAAUGUAGAUAUUACACCGCGCCAAGACGCGGGUAUCAACUCUAGUUGUUCUACAUAUAUAUGUGCACAGUUCCGAUGCAUCAACACCAGGCAAGCUUCAACAGCAUCAAGUUCCUCUUAUUUUAGCUUUUAGUUUUCUUUUAGCAGGUGCAUACGAUCAUUACGAUGAAGUAGAGCUAGAGACUUGCUUGUUUCGUGUAAUAUAUGCUUCCAGAGGGUAAGGAGUGCCAAUCUUAUAAAGUUAUAGUUUAGGGUAUUUAGUGUAAUGUGAAUUGAACCAGCUAGCUAGGAGUUUCAUGUAUAGGAAAGAGAAAAUGCCAAUUUAAUACUAAUUUUAGCUCUUCAUUGUCUAUUUCAAUGACAAUCUUUUUUAUGAGCUCAUUUGAAUAUAAGGUACCUCUAUUUGUGCCCAAAUGAACAAACAAAUGAACAAAUGAACAGAUCUUUACUUAAAGUUUUAACAAACAAUAUUAUUUUAGGACUAUUUUGCCCUCACCACUUACAUGCAUAGAGAGAGAAAAUGGAAGAGAAAGAAGAUUUGGUCGGAACCUCACCGGACUCCGGACUCCAGUCACCGGCCGCGAGACUUCGGUCACCGGCCGCCGAAAUUUCAUCGGAUUUUUUUAAAUGUCACCGGAAUCUCGUCGGAUUUUUUUAUAUUUAUAAAAUAUCACUGGACCUUGCCGGAAGUAUACUGCACCAUCGCUAAAGUUUAAUUAAGGGGCAGUAAUGAUGAAAAAUGUUUUACUGAGGGCAAUAAACUUCUACUAAGAUUUUACUAGAAGGCAGUAAACUUUUACUGAGGUCAAUAAAACCUUAUUUAAGGGAAAUAAUGAUGAAAAUUGUUUUACUGGGAGGGGCAGUGAACUUCUACUAAGGGAGCUAAGGGAGCAGAGUUUACUGAGAUUUUACUGGGGAGUAAUAAACUUCUACUGAGGUCAAUAAAACCUUAUUUAGGGGCAGUAAUGAUGGAAAAUGUUGUAUUGGGGGGGGAGGCAAUGAACUUCUAUUGAGGGAGCAGAGUUUACUGAGAUUUUACUGGGCGGCAGUAAACUUAUAAUAAACAAUUUAGGGUUUACUAUAGCCUCAAAUAUCAUAAAUUGGAGUAGAAAGAAGAUGCAAUGCUGACCCUAGACUAACUCGACGCCGACUGUGCAAGAUUGGAGUUUAGAUUUGGCACAGAUCUGGACUACUGAAGAGUGACGCUACCGACCUCGGAAUGAUCAGCCUCAACCUUGGAUCUUUACUCCUUGACUAGCGAUGCUGCCGAUCUGACGUUGUCGUCUUCUCUUGAUCACACAAACGUCUUUGCUUUUGCCUUCUGGAACUCGGUGGCUUGGACAUCGGAUUUUCUCCUCAAGGCUCAGAGGUAGCUCACCGAUGACGAUGUGAAGCAUGUAUGGAGAUCACUGAGCCUUGCUGUUGUCGCCGGCGCUGAUGUUUGCCAUCCAACGCGAGACGACGUCCUUUAACACCGACAUAGGUGGCGCCGAAAUCGAUCUCCAAUCUAGAUUUGACGGAGAGAGAGAGUUGAGCUCCGAUCUGGAGUUGGGGAGAGAGAGAGAGAGAGAGAGAGAGAGAGAGAGAGAGAGAGAGAGAGAGAGAGAGAGAGAGAGAGAGAGAGAGAGAGAGAGAGAGAGAGAGAGAGAGAGAGAGAGAGAGUUUAGAUCAGGAGAGGUGAGAGAUAAUUUAGAUAGGGGAAGAGGUGAGAGAGAUAUUAUAUAAGGGUAAAAUAGUCUUUUACGUAAGAUUAAUUGGAAUGGGCUUUUGACUUCUUUUUUUUUCAUUGGAUUGGGGUCUGACUUUGUUAUUUUUGUGCAAAUGAGCAUUUUCCCUAUAGAAAAUAACAUCCCACUAUCCUAAAUAGUUACAUAAAAUAGAAAAACCACAUUUCAACAUAUUUAAACAAAUAAGGACAUAAGCCCAGGCCCAGUGCAUCGUGUCACGCCCUGUCAGCAAUUUUUUUACGCAAAAUACCUAAAAAACCAAUCUUUUCUGAAAUAUCUACAAAACUGCCACUGUUUCAACCAAAAAUAUCUUCUCUCUUUUUCUCUGAUCUGUGAGACCCUGUAAAGUUAUGGCUAUAUGAAAGUGAAGUUCCUAUAACUUCUAGUAAACAAUUUCCGUUGUGGACAUAUAAUACUCGAUUCUAUUUGGGCUCGAAGGUUUUUAUUUUCGAAGUGGGCUUGGAACAGCCCAAUCCACUUUGGGUCACAUGUUUGAGCCUAAGGAGGGCAACAUUGUAAUUUUAUAUAGAUGAGCUAUAAAUUGAUAAGCUUUGAAUCCUUUAAUCAUAGUGACCAGAAGCUUCUCCCGUUUUCUCUCCCUCUCUCAUGAAGACACGAACACUAACUCCCGAUCUUGGUCACCCUCUUUCUCUCUUCCUCUCUUGUAUCGUUUAUGUCAUUAACAAGAUGACGAGGCUACUAUAUAGUUCAUGGUUUGACGCCAACCGUCAGCUCAAGGCUAUGGCAGCGACGGAGCACGGCAAACAUGCUACACACAGUAGAGCCCCUAUAUGCAAAUAUCCAUCUAUUCUUAUUUUUCUAUGAAUCGAUGGUCUAGUCCUCAUUUGUUGACCUUGCUGCAGAAGACCAUGCCGCUUGGAGUUGUGAGGUAAUUGUGAACCUAUUUAGUGCUUAAGGUUUGAUUAUUAAAGAAACAAGUUUGAUUGAUAAUGGAUUUUGGUUUUGUCUUUUGGUUUCUGGUGAUGAUGUAAACUGGAAUUGAUAUGGGUCAUGAGUUCCUUGGAUUGAGAAGCAAGACAAGGAACAGAAGAAGAAAGGUACCUUUUGAUUGAAUGAAUGAAAUUGAGAGAGAGACCAUAACAAUGGUAAGUCCGUAUCUUUUGAUUGGAAUUGGUUCCAUAAGCAAUUGAUUCAAUCGUUGAUUAUUUUGUUUUUAAUGAAAACAGAAGAAGGUUCGAGUUCUCAAUCUAGAACAAGACUACAUGCUUUGAUACAAUAGACAUCCUAUUGAAAAUUGAAGUGAGAGUCUUGUUGCAUGUUCUUCAAAUAUAAAGGUUUUGUUUAUAUUGAAUUAUGGUGGUAUGGUCUUGGUCAUGAGUUAAAGUAAAUAUUGUUCUACAAUUUCUUUUGGACGCAAGUGAAUUAUGGAUGUGAGAUUAGCCAUAUAAAUAUAUGGUAUAUUUAGAUUACAGAGUCUAUUGUGAAUUGGUGAUCACGUUAUGAGGUACCAAAUUGGGUUAAGUUUCCAUUUGAAUUUUGUAACAGAUUUGGUUAUGUUGUGAAUCUUGAAUGGUUAAGUUAAUGGAAAUCAAUUUGGCUCAUGCGAGCUUGUAUAAUUUUUCUAAGGGUCUUUGCUAAUAAUUCUGUAGUUGAUAAAUGGGUUUGAAGUUAAGGAUAAUGCCUUUACUUAUAAAGGUUUACCAUACUGAUUGAGAAUAAAGUUUGUUGUGGACAAAGAAAUAGAUUGGGUUCAAAUCAAAUGCUCAUUUGAGCUAGAGAUAAAGAAUGAUUUAAGUAUGCCAUUAUUGGUUGGCUUAGUGUGUUGUACUAAGCUUGGUCUUCAUAACUAGCUACUGUUGGCUAUCACCUUAUAUGAUCAUUAUGAGAUACAGAACAUGUGAUCUUGCUAAGUUUUUGAAAAGAGUUCCUAAUUGAUGUUUAAGGAACUACUAUUUAAAAUGUCAGACAGAGCUCUGGAUCUCGAGUUUUCGAGUAUGGUGGUCUUUGCCGAGUGUUGUGGAGUAAAGGUUCACACUCCAGGAAUACCAGGUAGGGGAUUCUAGACUCUUUUUGGCUAGUGGUUUUCGUAUAUUAUAUAUGAAAAGUGAUUGCAUGCAUGGUUGUGAUUGAUUUAUUAUGAAGAUUUGAUAUUGUAUUGCCAUGCUUGUUUUCAAUCGUUUUCGAUAUUGUGUGAUGACCUGAGAGUGAGCGGGGCAUAGCGACUUCCUUGGGUUUCGAUCUCCUAAACCUCCGGAGGGGCUGUACGGACUGGAGGGCGUCUAACAUCCUUUGUGGUGUGGCGUUGCUCCUAGGCGGUAUGGCGUAAAUGGACACUCUCGCUACUCCUUGCCAGUUCUGACAUCAGUUUUGGUAAGGAGGUAGUUGGCAUAGGGACCGGUCAUCAGGUUUGUGUAUCUGGGCCCGCAGAUGUUUUUCGAAAUGAAACUUAUUGAAAUUUACAUUUUAUGAUUUGCUCACACUACCAGAAGAAAGGUUUUAGCCGACGAAAAUAAAAAAACCAGGCCGACUAAUUAUUUUUUCGUCGGCUAAAGUCCACUUUAGCCGAUGAAAUUUCCCUUCGUCGGCUAAUUUAAAAUUUUCAUCGGCUAUGGUCAACUUUAGCCGACGAAAUUAAAAUUUCGUCGUCUGAAUAAUUUUUUUCGUUGGCUAUAGUCUGUGAACUUUAGCCGACGAAAUUUUUAAAAGUUUAGCCGACGAAAUUUUUAAAAGUUUAGCCGACGAAAAAUACAAUUUCGUCGGCUAAAGUGCCUUAUAUUUGCAGAUCUGGACAACAACUCAUAUGGAAAAAAAAACUAUACGUAGAACCUUCAAACGCAAAAAAUUAGUGAAAUAAGAUAUGACCAGAAUGGUGAAAUACGUCUACGGUUGAAAAAUCACGGUAUUCCGGUAAAGUCUCGGUGCCGAUAGUUGCGGUCAAUGCAAUUUACCCUUAUUAUUCACUAUGCUGCAGAUUUGGUUUUUGGUGUCCGAUUGACUAUUGUGAUACCUUUCCGGAAGCAUAACGGCUCUACGAGUCAAACUCAUGGCUUGUGCCAUGAUGUAUGGGCCUUUUUGGCCAUCCGAGUCCGUUUAGGGCUUCAAAAUGCAGUUUUCUUAUUUCCGAUUAGAGUUGACCGUUUCGAUCGAGCCCUUAACGUUGUCGAAUCCAGUUGAAUUUUUUACCAUAGACAUCUUUCGUCAUAAUGAUCAUAUCUGACAGUCGAAUUUUGGUUUGUAAAUUUUAGUCAUCGGAAUCACAACGUGUCUACUAUUUACCGUUAUUAUUCCCUAUGGGGAGCCCUAUCGUCGGAAGGUAAAUGUCUCAAAAUUUUUAUAUGGGCAGUUGCGUCUCAUCUACGUGAGAGUUUUUUGUGUGGACUACAUAAUAUAGAGGGAGAUAUUAACGUUUCGGUGUGAUAAGUGACAAUCGAUUAGGGUUGACCAUUUCGAUCGAGCCCUUAACGUUGUCGGAUCCAGUUGAAUUUUUUACCAUAGACAUCUUUCGUCAUAAUGAUCAUAUCUGACGGUCGAAUUUUAGUUUGUGAAUUUUAGUCAUCGGAAUCACAACGUGUCUACUAAUGUUGUAUAACUUGUUUAGUAGGUUAUACAACUUUGCGAAUCAACUCUACAUAUGAAGCAAAAUUAUCAAAAAUCUCGUGAAAUAAGAUGUGUUCAGAAUGGUGAAAUACGGCUAUGGUUCAAAAAUCACGUAAAUCGGGUAAAGUCUCGGUGCCGAUAGUAGCGGUCAACUCUAUUUACCGUUAUUAUUCCCUAUGGGGAGCCCUCUCGUCGGAAGGUAAAUGUCUCAAAAUUUUUAUAUAGGCGGUUGCGUCUCAUCUACAUGAAAGUUUUUCGUGUGUAAGGUUUGACCAAACUACGUAAUAUAGAGGCAGAUAUGAGCGUUUUCAUGAAUUUAUAGACUUUAGCCGACGAGAUAUUAAAAAAGUCGUCGGCUCAGGUCAAAAAUUUUGGGGGGGGUAAAAAUUUUCAAAGGACUUUAGCCGACGAAAUCAUAUAUGAUUUCGUCGGCUAAAGUCGAAAAAUUUCAAAAUUUUCAACCAAAAUUUUUUUGCGGUCAACCAAAAUUUUCAAAAGAGUUUAGCCGACGAAAAUAAAUAAUUUCGUCGGGUAAAGUUCUUUAUAUAGGAGUUUUACCGGAGGUGGAUGGUAAGAAGUCUGUUUCGUCUGCCGGAUUUUCUUCUCGGCCUAGCUCCGCCGUCAAGCCACCUGAGACGGCCACACUUGUCCCAAAAGCUUCACCGUCGUCUCUACUUCAUUGCUGGACAGGUGGUGCAUCGAGUGUCGCCGCCGUAAGGGAUAAAUCGAGCUCCAAAACUCCGCCGGUUUGGAUUCGGUGUCGAUCGAAUUUCUCCUUCCUCAGGUCACCAUUUGGUGAGUUCUAUAUAUGGAUAAGUUGAGUUUGAUUAGUACUACAUUCCCUUAGAAUUUGGUAGCUCGAGUCGGUGUGUGUGAGGAGAAUCGAAGAUUUGAAGUUUUUAGGGUUUAAAAUUGGGGAUUUUUAUAUUUUGAUUCAAUUGACCUGUUUACGCUUAGAAUUGAGCUUCGACUUCUUCUAGAAAGUUGUUCGAAAUGUUGAGAGGAAGAUGCUGUCAAAUUUUGGUGGUGAUUGGAGGUGGCCGAAAGUUUCUGCAGUUUUUNNNNNNNNNNNNNNNNNNNNNNNNNNNNNNNNNNNNNNNNNNNNNNNNNNAGUUGAAUGCAGUUGUGAAGUGUGUGAGAAGUGAUAGGGGUGGUGAGUAUUAUGGGAGAUACACCAAAACUGGUCAGCAUAAGGGACCAUUUGCUUCGUUUUUAGAAGAGAAUGGGAUUAUAGCACAAUAUACCACACCUGAACCCCUGAGCAAAAUGGAGUUGCAGAGAGAAGAAAUAGAACCUUUAUGAACAUGGUGAGGAGCAUGAUGUGCACCUCAGGUCUCCCACAUUUUCUUUGGGGUGAGGCACUUAAAACAGCCAAUUAUUUGACUAAUAGAACCCCAUCCAAAUCUGUGUCUGCAACCAAAACCCCAUUUGAAUUAUGGAAGAAUAGAAAGCCUAGCAUUUAUCACACACAUGUUUGGGGUUAUAAGGCCGAAGCUAGGCCUUAUAAUCCAAACGAGAGCAAGCUAGAUCCUAAAACAGUGUCUGCAUCUUUUAUUGGCUACUGUGAGCAUUCCAAAGGCUACAAGUUCUACUGUCCCACACACUCCCACAGAAUCAUGGAGACAAAUAAGGCAGUGUUCCUAAAUGAAACCAAUUAUUCUCAUUCUUUUGAGGAUUUUAUUUUUGAGGAGCUUACUGAAAAUGUUUCUAAUGCCGUCACUUCACCACAACCUCAACCUGUAAUUUUAGAAACCACACCAGUUGUUUUCAGUGGGAUUGAUGCACCUGCACCUAUCCAUGAUCCUCCCGCACAUGAGAUUGAUGCACCUACCACUAUCCCAAAUCCUCCACCACCACCAGUAAUUAGAAGAUCACAGAGAGAAAGAAGAUCAAGACUUGAAGCAAUGGCUACUGAUUUUCAGGUGUAUGAUGUUGAGGUAGAUUAUGAUGCUGGUGAGAUUGAAGACUCCAAAACCUUCAAAGAAGCCAUUGCUGGAGAUCAUUCACAUGAGUGGGAGAAAGCUAUGAUUUCAUAAAUGAAAUCUAUGCAUGUGAAUGAUGUCUGGGAACUGGUUGAGCCUUCAAAGUCGCAGAAAGCAAUUGGCUGCAAGUGGGUGUACAAGACCAAGCUACAUGUAGAUGGAAGCAUAGAGAGGUACAAGGCAAGGCUAGUAGCAAAGGGUUUUACACAGAAAGAAGGUGUGGACUACACUGCCGCCAAUUGCUUUCAGAGCUAUCAUGGCUAUGGUUGCUCAUUAUGACAUGGAGCUGCACCAAAUGGAUGUAAAGACAGCUUUUCUGAAUGGAGAGUUGAGUGAAGAGAUCUUUAUGAAGCAGCCCGAGGGAUUUAUUGAACCUGGGAAGGAGCAUCUAGUUUGUAAGCUUAACAGGUCCAUAUAUGGAUUGAAACAAGCUUCAAGACAGUGGUAUUUGAAGUUUGAUUCAGUCAUCAGUGGUUUUGGAUUCAAGGAGAAUCAAGUUGAUGAGUGUGUUUACAUGAAAUCAGAAGGUAAAAAUUUUAUUUUCUUGAUUUUAUAUGUAGAUGACAUCAUAUUGGCUAGUACAAAUUUAGACUUGCUGAAAGAGACUAAGUCUUUCUUGUCAAAGAAAUUCGACAUGAAGGAUUUAGGUGAGGCUAAGUAUGUACUGGGGAUAGAGAUAAAGAGAGAUAGAUCGAGGUUCCUACUUGGUUUAUCACAGCAGAGCUACAUCAACANNNNNNNNNNNNNNNNNNNNNNNNNNNNNNNNNNNNNNNNNNNNNNNNNNUUUUAUUACAGACUUUAGCCGACGAAUAUCUUAAUUGUUUCGUCGGCUAAAGUCUGUAAUAAAAACCGACGACAUGUUUUUCGUCGGCUAAACUGUGGAACUAUAGCCAACGAAAUUUUUUUUUCGUCGGCUAAGUCAUCGCCGACGACCUUUUCCCGACGAAAUCUUAGCCGACGAUGGCUCGUCGGCUAAGAUCUUAGCCGACAAAUUAAGCUAACAGGCCGACGAAACUUUUUCGUCGGCUAAAGUGCUUGUCCUGGUAGUGUCAUCAUCUAUAUUUAUAUUUGUUUUCACAUACUGGCCAAUAAAUUAAAUAGUUUUCAAACCUAGUUGGUUGAGUCUUAUUGAGCAGCGAGGACGAAAGCUCACCUCUACUGCUCUACAACAGUUAUGGAUGCAGGUACUGUGCACAAGACGGGAUUGAGCUGUAUUGAGCUGAUCGAGUGUGCAUAUUUGGUUAAAGUUAAAUGUCCUUAUCGAAUUUGUUAUUGUACGUUAGGUUUCCAUUUUAUAUUCUGAUUACUUGGUACAUUUCUUUGUGUUUUAUUUGAAAACCAUGUCGAAGUUGUUUGCUUUGUCAACUACUUUAUUCUAUUUUCUUAUCAUCGUUACCUGUACUAACAAGGAAAUAUGUUUUAGUUGAUCCUGGCUACGUUUUACUGCAGUAGUUAUUUCACAUUAGUUUUGCCUUAUGCUUUAUAGCUUGAUUCAAAAGAAGUAAAUCUGUUUUAUUAUAAUGUUUUACACCUCAUUUAUGUAACGCUUUCGACUUUAACUUUGAUUUUCAAUUUAUAAAAGUUUUAGUUAGUUUAAUUAAAAUGUCUUACGGGUUCUUAGGGCUUGAGUGAUGGGCCCUAGCUUAGGUUCUAAGAGAACACGACACUGUAAUGUGCUCGAUUUGACAGGGUGUUACAUGAUCUGUCAUACUCUCUCUCUCUCUNNNNNNNNNNNNNNNNNNNNNNNNNNNNNNNNNNNNNNNNNNNNNNNCUCUCUCUCUCUCUCUCUCUACUCUCUCUCUACUCUCUCUCUCUCUCUCUCUCUCUCUCUCUCUCUCUCUCUCUCUCUCUCUCUCUCUCUCUCUCUCUCUCUCUCUCUCUCUCUCUCUCUCUCCACCACACGACGUCGAUCGACCUCACUGAUCGACUCCGCUGCCUGCUAGAUUGACUCCGCCGGUGCUAGAUUGACCUCGUCGAUCGACUUUGUCGUUGCUAGAUCGACCUCGCCACUCGAUCGACGCCGCUGUCUACACCCUUGAAAUCAUCAAGUUCUAAUCGCUCCAGUUGAUCGAUUUUAGCAUUUGGUUUCAUCAUCGGGAGGGGAUGUUGCAAGCUCGGCUUCAUUGUUGAAUCAAAGCUGUCAUAAUUGGUUUAAGCGUCCAGAUCUGACGACGACGAGUUGGUUUGUAUUAAUAUGUGGAAAGUUGAGGCUGCCGAUUAACAAGACGGCUGCCGAUUAGCUAACAUACCCGAGUGAUCAAGAAAAUGCAACUAGCAUAAACUUUUAUGGCCAUGAAAUCCUCUUGUCCAAAAUUGUGAACCUAUUUAGGCAUGUCUCGACAAAUAUGGCAGGUAGACGAUGGCAUGCUUAUAAAUGUGUAGCUCCAAAAAUUUUCAACCUCACAAAUGCUUGCCUCAUGAUAGAACUAUUUUAGCAAGUAAUAAAAUGGAUUUCAUACCUUUAUGGGCUGCAUAUGCUCGUCUCCAUGUCCACAAUCAAGGAGUCAUCAAUCAAGAUUGCACCAGUUGUGAAACUUUUGUCUCUUGCAAGCUCUUUGUCCUCAAUGCAAUGCCAUGCAUCUUGCAACGCCAAAUUCUUCAUUCUAUCUAAUUUUCGGCCAUUUUGCUUUCACAUGGCCGUAAAUAGAUUUGCUCCUCUUCACCUUUUUUUUUGUGAAAGUAAAGCAAGAGAAAAAAUAAAAUAAAAUAAAAUAAAAAAUUAUUCCAACUCUCUAGGAGGAGGCCAACGAUGCUUUAUUGCAAAUUUUGAAAUUUCUUUGCUUCCAUCCUUUGGUUCAAGAUCUUGCAUGCCAUGUAGCAUCAUGUUUGGGUCCUUUAUAGUAUGUUCUUGAUAUUCGGCCAUUAUGUAGGCCGAAUUUUGAAGCUCAUAUGCACUUGGAGUAUCAGUUUCAGCUUUUAUUUUAAAUUUAGCCGAUUGUGAUUUUUCUAAGUCGGCUUUAUUUCUGACAAUCAUGUCAAAGUGGAUAAGCUCCUCACUUAAAUAAUCAACUUUCUGCUGUUGUGUUAACCCUGUGAGUAGAUCGAAGCCAUGAAUUGGUUCGUCAUCUUCAUAGUUAUCAUAAAUGGGCUCAACGUUGAAAUCAAACAUAGGCUCAGUAUCUAGAGAAUAAUCAAUCUCAUUGUCAAAGAUCGAGGGAUCAAAAACUUCUUUUUCACAAGAUAAUCCUAAUUCAGAUUUUUCCUUCUCAAAUAUAGGCAUGUUUUUAUUAUUACCUACAUCUCUAUAGUCAACCAUGUUACCUUCGAGUGACGUUGAUGAUAGCCUUGUUUCUUCCACAAGAGAAGGUGAUGAUAGAGAAGUCCAAUUAGCUUCGUGUUCUUGACAGCUUUUCAUUGAUCUUGUCUCAUCUUCUUGGUAUUCCAAAGUUGGACCCUCAUAAGAAAAAUCUCUUGCAUGUUGGCUAAUAAAGCCAUCAAAAUCGUAUUUUUCAUCAGCUAUUUCACUUGAUGCGUUGUUGUCCAAAUUGCUGGAAUUUCCAUCAAAAAACUGCAUGAGAUGUCGAUGAGCAAUCUUUUGUUUUGAUUGGCUUUCAUGUUGUGGAGCCCAAGUUGAAGCUGUUUGGUAAUUCCAUAAAUAUCGGCUAUCAUAACCGUUACAAUUAUUAUAUGCACCAAUGAGGUAAUUAGAGUCAUAAUUGUAAUGACUAAGAUGAUGAUGAUCACCAUAAUAAUUUUCCAAGCCAUAUUGAGAUUGCGUUGUGGGUAUUUACGAAUUCCACGAGGCAUGGCUAUUCAAAUCGACAAAACUUGUGAACGCAGCAUAGCUGUAUCUCCCAUUGGCACCAUAAAUUGAACUUGAGCCGUUUAAAUUCGGCUCAUUGAAAUUCAUUUGUGAAAACACCUAAUGCAUGUGGGGUCCCACUGGGCGUGCCAAAAGAUGUUGGCUCAAAAAUCGUCUCGGCCACUUGUCAAUGGGCCAAGGGAUUCUCUGGGCUACACGUGUCCUUCUGGCUUGGUGAUGUGUGCGAUGGCAUGCCAACUCCCACUUAAAUUCAGUUUCUUUUUGCAGUAUCUUCUAAAUCUAUUAAAUCAUGCAAAAGAUGUUCUCCACUUUGCUAUGAAUUCUCUUUCUCUCGAUCAUAUGCGUCAAAGAUGAUUACCACGGGAUAGUAACCGCUCCCGAAUUUUAUUUCGAUUUUGGAUUUGUUAUGAUUAAUUGUACUAUCAUUGUUCUGUUUGGUUGAUCAUAGAUGAUCCUUGAAUCCAUCUUUCCCAUGUCAUGUGAGCUACGAUAUGGUUAUUUUUAUAUUCAUUAGAAUCUAACGAUUGUUGGGGUGUGUUUUUACUGUGUAUUACUCUCACAUGUUUUAUAGACUGCAUAAGACGUUCUUCUCGCGUAAGAAGGGAUAAAUGUGGAACAAGCAGUUCAUUCAUCCAUAUUCAGUAGCAGUUGAUCUAGCCCAGAAGUCGGAGAAGUGGAGACUAAAACAUACACAGGUUUGCACACGGCUCCAUCGAUAUUCAUCCCUCGCUGAAUUUAAGAUUCAUUUUAGGUCAGACUUCAUUGAUGAGAACUGGGUUAAUGUGUUCUUGGUUUUACAAUUGCAAAACUGCUAUCUACUGUAGGUUUUUUUUUUCCUGAAUUUUGCAGGUAUGUGAAAGAGAUGAUUAACUUCUUUUCUCCAGGUAACUUUUCUUCUCCUUUUCUCUUCUCCUUCUCCGUCAAAUUUUGUUUCCCAUAUUUACAGUUUUAUUUUGUUUUAUUUUGUUUAUUUGUAGAAUCAAAAAUACGAUAUCCAUUAGUUUGGUUCUUUUUUUACUUUUGAAACGGUUGCUCUUCCGAACAGAUCCCAAAUAUUGCAAUUGUGGUGAAACUUUCGAUAAUGAACAGAUUCAUGUUAUUUUUUUAAUAUAAAAAAAGAAAGAAACAGAUUCAUGUAUUUAUGCAUGCAUGAUUGCUCUACAAAGUACAAAUUUUUUUCUUUCCUCCAUGAUUACUGUAAAUUUUAUAUGCAUCUUAUAAACGUCUUGGUCGGUUCAUCAAGGGCUACUUUGGUUUGUCUUCCGUUGCCUAAAGAAUACUCAUAUAUAUCAGAAUUGUUUGGUUUGUUUUGUAGACUAUGUUUUCAAAACGUGCAUGUUAAUCGAUCACCAAGUAACUUAUAAUCGCCGAAGAUGAGAAAGAGAGAGAGGGAGGAGAGGUAAAGAUGUUUGUUUUUCUUAAAGCAUUUACUAUGGAGGCAAUGCAUCAUUAUAAAAUCCAUAAGAUUAAAACCAAGAUCAUUUAUUUUAAAGACUAUUCAAUUUGCAGAAGUCGAAGAAAACUAUGACUACAACCUUGAAGCCAAAUGAAGAUAGGGGAACAUGGAGAACAGAGAAGUGAAUAUCUAUUAGGCUAUGAAAUAGAUGUUGUCGAUCUUUUUUUCAACCCAUCAAUUAACUCACUAGGAACUAGGAAGUGUUCGCCAUUGGUUUUAUUUGUUCUUAAAUAUUUUUGGUAUUUAAUUUCACACUUACUCAAUGAUUCAGAUGGGUUAGUAGUUUGCAAAGAUACAAGUCGACAUUGAUAUUGUGGAAUUGGAACCGUGUACACACCAAGGGUUAGGACUUGCUCAAAUGGUUAUAUAUAUAGCUUAGUUCUCUUUCCACACUAAUUAAUAAAACACAUUUGUAAACAAAAAUAAGACCAACUGCACGUGCGAGUACGAUUCUUUCAAAUAAUAUUUUGUGCCGAUCAUUUUGAAUGUUUUUUUUAUGGUCUAUGAUACAAUACUGUAGUGUUAACUAUAGAAGAAAAAUUCAAAAAGACGUAAAUUGUAUGCAUUGAUAAAUAAAUAGUUUACUAAUGUUUAAAAAAAUAAAAAAUAAAAAAACAAAAACGCACACGCGAACGCGGUCUUUUUACAUGCGCAUUGUGUGCGUGCAGAAGACUAGUAUAUAGUUUGUAAAUAUUUAACUUUCUAAUUAAAAGUGAAAUCAGAAAAAUUUAAUUAAGGAAAAAAAUUUGAUUAUAUAGUUUUCAACUCUAUGAUUUCCAGAAUGCAAGUUCUAAGCAUAAGAUUAUAUUCAUAAUGAUCAAAAUCAAAAUACUUAAAAUCACCAUCUUGAUCCAAUACUCCAUAGCUACUGGCUUUGCCGAUGGAUAAUAAUAUUCAUGCAGACUAAUCAAGCAGCAUGGUGUUGAUGAAUUAACCGUUGUUAAUACUGGAGCAUUAGUAAACUUCCCAUUCCCCUUCUCCAACUCCUCCUCCUCAUCAUCGUCAUCAUCAUUAUCACUACAACAACUAUCAUCGUCGUCGUCGUCAUCAUCAACAACGGUAAUCCAUCCUUCGUCAUUAACAUACUCUCUCACAGCAUCCCUAAUGUCCUCAGACCCCUCGCCCUCAAAAAACUUCAACAACCUCCCCAGCUCCCCGUCCUCCAUGUCACCGACGAACGGCCGGACCGGUAUCCCAUUUUCCGAUUGGAGAAAAUACGAGUUGGGAUUAUCGUCCACGAUCACCACUCGCCGCAAGUCACGUCCCAAACCCGACAGGUCUUUGACGAACUUGCCGUACACCUCCUUGCAUGAGUCGCGGUAAAGGCGGUGGGAUAUGAAGCCCUGCCUGUCCAGCCGGUCCAGCACCAGAGAAGCGUACUCUCUCAUCCCCGCCGUGAACACCACCACCUCGUACUUCUCCGCCAGCUUUUGCAGAAACUGGUCAACUCCGGGACGUUUGAUCACGUAGAAGGUCAUCUCGGUGUCCCGAAUAAUGGGCCGGACGAGGAAGUCGAAGCGAUAGGGCAACGUGGCCGAAGUGUGCACCAGUGUUUCGUCCAGAUCAAGAAACACGGUUCUCUUCUCCGGUGAGGUUAACGGCGGAAGUGAGGGGCAUGUUGUUUCAGGUCCGGGUUCGGGCCAGGCCGGGUCUGGAGUUAGGAUAUCUAAGCUGCCUUUGUCGGUGUCAAUGCCGGAAAGUAUGACAUUGGAGGCGGCGGCUGCCUUCUUGACUGAGGAGUUGCGGCGGUGGUGCCACCUUUUGCCGUGGCGGUUCUUCAUGGCUAAACUCUUGUUUGCCCUAAUCUUAAUUAUUUUGGACACCAUUGUCUCUAUAUUGCUCUUUGUGAAUUGUAAUUUUGCCUGAAUUAAUUCAAGUUUGGGAAUCUGAGAUUAAUGUUCCGAGGGUUUUUAAACUUUAGCUAAUGUGGUUAGGGCAAGUGCGGGUGAGUUUUGUUUUAGCGGCGGUUGCUUUGGUUCAACUUUCUUGUUGAAGUGGAAUCCAGGCCUUCAUGGUUUGGUUUUUUGGUUACCCGGUUUAGUCUCGAGUGAGUACCAAGACUAUACCGGCCAGUUUUUUUUAGGUUUUCUAGUUCCUCAUUAAUAGUGAAUUUUUGUAUGCACAACGUGUUUCUAAAUAGUCAAUUGGCUUCCCAUUUUGUUUAACUUUGUUUGACUAAUAAGAACCUUCUAUCAUAGCUAGUUUUCCACUAACUCGAAACAAAAUUAGAAUUACCAACUUCCAGUACCUCGUUACAUUAUUGUUUGUGAAGAUAUAUACCUUAUAUGUUUUUUUAUUUUUUAAGAAUAUAUGAAAAGAGAUUUUAUUCAAAAGAAGAACCAAUUACGAAUUAUGGGAAUUGUGUGUGGAAGACAUAAUAGUCCCACGUGUUUCCCUACACUACCAGAAAUAGUUACAGGCUUAUCACCAUUGAUGAUAACUAUGAGCCAAUCAGACCCAACCCAAACCAGAAACGACGCUUCUCUAAACAGGUUACUCUAGUUGCCACAGUAUGCACCACACAAUUCGCAUUUCUUGUGAAAGUGUAACAUCCUGACCCAGAUUAAUAAAAAUUCUAAAUUUUCAACGAGUUUAAUUACCUUGGAUUAGACAAAUUCGAUAAAAUCGUAACUGGCUCAAGUUACCUUUGAAUUGAAAGAAGGGAGUGGGUACCUUAAUGUUUCCAAAUGAACCCAUGGUUUCUCUUUUACAAGAGUCCAAGAUCAUGAGGCCAGUUUUAACAUGAUCAAUAGGAUUGAUCCCGAGAUCGGAUCCUCUUCCCUCCCCCUGGAUUGAUCCGAGAAAUCUUUGUAUAUCCCCUUCUCAAGAUCGGUGUUCUAGAGAGGCCUCCUCUCCCGAGAGAGUUCUACAGCUCUCCCUAUCUUACAACCCAGAUAGGAAACCAAAACCAAAUCGAAACUGGAAAAGUAAACAAUCUGAGUAAUUGAAGUAUAAUAGUUACAGCUACUGGCCGAGAUAUUUCUAUGAGAUAGCUUUGAAUACCACAUCAGUAUACAUCAGUACACAGUUGCCAACGUGCUAUCAGAAACUAAACUGAUUAUGAUAAAACUGAAUAACUAUACAUCUAGGUAAAGGUAAAAAAGUCUGGAAUGGUUCCCUAUAGAAGUCAACAUAUAUACUCAUUCUGUAAUGCUUUAAGUUUAUUCUCAUGUUCUUGUUAGGUAUUUGAGUCCCCUUUAGGAUUACAACCAUGUUCUCGUUAGGUUCAUGUCUCCUUACUUUAUCAUCUUGUCUAUAAUUUUUGACAAAUGUGAGAGCUGGUAGCUAUAUAUAAGGGCUGGUAUAUCUACAUUGUAAUUCCACAACAACAAUGACCAAAGGCCACAUUUCUCUUGCCACAUUAUUAACAAAUGUGAGAGCUUUUACUGUUUAAGAUAUGAACCCCACCCCAUUUGAUAUCGUAGGUGAGACAUUGUCUCACAAUUGCAUAUAAUUAUGGCUAGGUAAUAUAUUAUUGUUUUUUACGUACUAAAACCUGACAGGGCUGUCAUCUCUCGCCUCCCCCUCUUUUCUUUGCUCCAACUUUUGCUAUUUUUUAAUUUUAAAAAUUCAAAUAUUUAUGAAAUAACUCACAAUGCUCCCAGUCUCCAACACUUGUAUCUUAUUUGUAGUUCUUUUCCCAUUCUUUUCUUCAUCUCUGUCCUUCACUUUAUCUUCCGCCUCUCUCUCUCUCUCUCUGCAGAACCAAAGUUCUGACCGCCUCGGAUUUCUUGACGAUCUCCGACUUCGAGCCAACGACCGCCUUCGACAUCACUUUGUAUGGUAACUGACCAUAUUCCCGGUAUUNNNNNNNNNNNNNNNNNNNNNNNNNNNNNNNNNNNNNNNNNNNNNNNNNNCUAUUCUUUCUAUGAUUAGUUUGAAUCAUGAUAUAGCUAUAUGAAUAUUGUAUUGUCUAUUGAGACAAUGUUUUCAGAAUUUAAAGGGCAUCUGUUAUAAUUUUCUUUUGAAGAUGAUGUCAGGUUCUUGCAUACAAAACCAUAAAGAGGAUCAAAAUUAUUUUAGACUGUGUCAGAUACGUCAGGUAGUCUAUUAAUGAUUACAGGUUGAUAACUUUGUUUGAUUGGUGUGGUUUGUGGUUGGAACUACUGUGGCCUUGGAGUGGUUGUGUUUCAAAUGCAAUUCGGUUCUUGGUUCAAUACUACACUGCAGAUUUUACAGAUCAAAGUUGCAAACUUUUGUGUUGCCUUUUAAUCUCAAUGAGCUCUAAAGAUUUACUACAUUCUAACUAAGUUUAUAUCUUGUUGUAUGAGUUAUUCUUGGUCCAAGUGGGAGAAUGUUAGAGUUAUAUCUAAUGUGGACUCAAGAUUAACACAUGAGAGUCCAACAUAUAUAAACAUCUUGUGAAAUAAGUAAAUGAGGUUAAUCGAUAAUACUUAACUUAGAUAUUUAUCUUAGUAAUCUGAUUAGAUAAAUACAAGGAAUUUGAGAUAACAUAGAAUAUAUGUUAUAGUUAUCACAUAAGGUAAUUGAUUGGUUUAUUAGAGUUGCCUUGUGAGAUGGGAUUCUAAGUGAACUUGUCAAUAUAUAAAAGGGUCCCUGUGUAAGCUCAUACUACGCCUGUAAGUUUUCAUACUCACUGUGAAGAGGCAAUCUGGAGAAUUACACAGAAAACUUCCUCUGCUCCAGCUUGAUGGCGUUGAACAUGAACAACCAAGGUUGGUGCUUCUAAUUCUUAUACAUGUAUAUAUGUUCUUGUUUUGCUGAAACAUGAUGCAAUAUGUUUAUGUUUAUAUGUGGUUUUAAGUUCAAUACUAAACACGUCCAAAAUUGUCACUAGACAUUUUAUUGGAGCUUUACAAACAGUUAACAUCGUCUCGGGUUGUCACUAGACUUGUUCUUGGUAUCUUUCAAUUGGUAGGUUGUCUAUUUCAUGGUUCCACGGUGACGAUAGGUCAUUUCGGACUUCCAUCAAGAUUGAACAACUCGAUCCUCACCUUUCUCAUUUAGGAGAGGAUACAAUUCCUUUUAGAGCUUUGUCAUUUGGGUGGAGUUUCUACCCUUGGCCCAUGGUAAUAAGCAUUUAGUGUUUUUUAGUGAGCGCUUGUGUACUAUGUAGUAAUUAAUGCUUUAAUAGUCUACAACUCUCGUGUCGAAUGAUUGAACCUAAUCAAUGUGUCAUUUGUGCUACUACUAGUCUAUAGGUUCUCAUGUCGAAUGAUUGAACCUAAUCAAUGUGUCAGAGCAUCUUUAGCGCCGCAAUACUAGUCAUUUUUGAGUUAAAUUUUAGUCAAAAUUAGUUAAAAUGUUAUUUUGGCUAACCACUUUAAAAAUGUGUUUGUAUCAAU